CCAGGUGAGGUGCCUGUACGUGAAGAGCACCAUGGGGAAGCGUGUACGUGUGUUCUAAGUGUGUGCGCUCCAGUGAAGUUGAUAAGAUACUGGGCUGUCCUGCCGACCCCUGCUUGUCUUUGGAUUAGAUCUGUUUCACUGAUACCAAUUUUCUGUUUGCCUAAGCGAAUAUCAACAAGUAUUUUAUCGUACUAGUCUUAUCUUGAACAGAAAUCAUGGGAGCAAUGGAACUGCAUUUUCUGUCAUGAUUCUGCGUUGUGCCUGUUAUCAGAGAUCUAUAUGCGAUCUUGAUUGUCAUCUGAAUGUAGAUUUUACUUGGAAGUGUUUCCUAUAAGUGUGUUUAAAUGGAUAACUUAUUUGGUUAGCCUAGCAAAUCUCAGGAAAAUAGAAGUUUGUUAUCUGUAAAACCGGAGAAGUGGGAUUUUGUAAAAACGACUGUCAGUACUAUAUGCUUUUGGAUUUUCAGUGAUCGGUUGAUGUGGUUCAGCUUCUUCAGAAUCCAAGCCAAAUAGUCAGACCUUAUACUCUCUCUGUUCCCAAAUAUAAGUCUUUCUAGAGAUUUCAAUAAAUGAUAUGGAGCAAAAUAGCGAAUCUACACUUUAAAAUAUAUCUACAUGCAUCCGUAUGUUGUAGUCCAUUUCAAAUGUCUAAAAAGACUUAUACUCCCUUUGUUCCUAAAUAUUUGUCUUUUUAGAGGUUAUAUAUAGAUGUAUACAUAUUUUGGAGUAUAGAUUCACUCAUUUUGUUCCCUAUGUAGUUACUUGUUGAAAUAUCUAGAAAGAUAAAUAUUUUGGAACGGAGGGAAUACAAUGCAUGGUUCAGCUUCUUGAGAAUCCAAGCCAAAUAGUCAGACCUCAUACAAUGCAAGCAAGGCAGUAAAAUUAGUUUUACUUAAACUUUGGAUUUAAGCGAUCAUCGAUCGAUAUGUUUCAAAGCGACUCCAUGGCAUGCUGGUCAUAAAUGGUCUCAAGCAGUAGGGAACGACCGAAUUGACCUAUCCUAACGUGAGAGACGACUGGGUGGCUCAUAACCCCCCUUCUCCAGUCACAUCUCGUGCCCAUUCACACAAGUCUCUCUGCUCUUCCUUACUGCUCCUUCGGUCUCUUUGAUGUCUGACCCGCAACCGCGCCGUCCCCAGCCCCAACCUUGUCGGCAACACCGCCAUCAAAGACUGCUUGGUGGCCGACCUUGCAUCUAGCGACAUUGACCUCAUGGCGGCAAUUCGGCGCCCUCCUGCUUAUGCACGAGGCCGCAGGCCCAUCGCGCGCUCCGACUCCAGUUUUGCACCUGUCGUUUUGGGUUAAGCCCGUCGGCUGCACCAACGACAGCCAUGGUCAGAAGUUUUUUUUACUCCCAUUAGGGUUUUCUCUGGUGCAAGGCUAGGGGAGCACGACAGGCGUAUCAACGACGACACCUUCUUCCUCCACCCCGUGAGUCACCAAAAGCAAGGGUGCAGCAGCGGCGGCCCUCAGAUUUGUCGGGUUAUCCUCGUCGGCUGGACCCCUGUUCCCGGCAGGGUUUGCUUCGUGGUCGGCUUACCCUUGCCGGCAACCACUUCGGUAUUGUUCCCCGUGCUCAUGAUUGUAGUUAGGGUUUUUUGCUUAGUGCUGACUAGGUUAGAUUGGAUUCGAUCAGAUUUGAUUUAAAUCCAAUCGAUUGCGGUUGAAUAACAAUAAUGCUAGAUGGCAACUGCUUAGGGUGUUGAUGCUAGAUUGCUACUGCUCAGGGUGUUCAUGCUAGAUUGAUGUUGUUGGUGGUAUUUGAUGUAAUGACAAUGGUAUAUUGAUGACAAUGGUAGAUUGAUGUUGCCCUUGGUUCAUUGAAAAUGGUAGAUUGAUGAUGUUGGCGUUGUUCUUGUAGAUUGGUAGUUAGGGUGUGUGCAUGAUCAUACUACGUGCUUGCAUGAUCGUAGUAGGACAAUGCAUGUGCAUGCUACAAAUAGUAGCAGGAUAAAUUUGAAUCCAUUUAGGGGUUCUCAUCACAACACUGAUCAUUUGCAAUUGUCACUAAUCAUUGGCAGUUGCUCAGUGACACUUGCAUGAUCAUAGUACUACCCAAGUGCAACUGCCAAUGCUUAGUGACACUCUGAGCAACUGCCAAUGCUCAAUGACAGUUGCAAAUGAUCAUGCUCUCUUUAUUUACUCUCGUCCACUUACCCGACAAAGGUCGUGAAGACGGAGUGGGACACCACUGGUAGAGGGGUGUAGGUCAUCGCUCGCACCCAAGAUGCCGAGGACAUCAUCCCAAAGAACCGCUAGCUAAUGAGGGUAAUGUGCCGGGCAAGAUCGCCGACAUAAGCCAGCCGCUAGGCAUUGAAUGCAUGCCUAAGAUCAGCCACGAGGAGGGGGCAGGGGAGCCGCUAAGGUUCUACGUGCAGAUCAAGGACGAGGAAGAUAUCACCAUGCUUGUCAUCCUGUCGAGCUUCAGGGCGGUGAUGAGGUAAUGGCUAGUCCUCAAGCCUCCUUGUGUCAUGAGGCUCUCAACUAACAAGUGGUGUGAGUUCAUGUGCAGGUCCAAAACUUCCACGAGCAGCUGGUCCUCGGAAGGGGCUGGCAAUACUUUUGUCACUAUCACAUGAUCGCCCCAGAGACAUCCUUGUCGUGCGGCUGCCCGGGCUCGGCUUCAAGGUCCAGAUCUACAACGCCUGCAGCUCGAUCAUGUGCAGGUCAGGUGCCAGAAGCAGUGCUGUCAGGCUGACAUUGAGCGUGCCCUCUAGUUAGUUUGUUUGUCUAUCAUCUGAAGUUGGUUCGGUCGUCUAAAAUUUUGCUGUGAACUAUAUAUUUUGCCCAGGGAUAGGCACCCUGAGGUUGUGCAGGGGGAUGGCCCUACAGUCUUAAACUUAUGUUCCUAGGUAUUAUGCACUGUUUAAUAGUUGUUAUUCUUAUGUGAUGUGUUGUUAAUUUUGUUGUGUUGUUCUUAUGUGAUGCCUGUUGUGAAGUGUGUUGCAUUUGGGUGGUAAAGCCACCACAUUUGAAAGGGGCGAGCAGAACAGCUACGUGCAUGUAGCCAAACAGUUGCGGUUUGCAUCUGCUCACCCCUGAAGCACAAAUGCAUGCAACCAAACAGCAGACCCUAAUCUGGGCAUCGAUUCAAUGAAGGCAACCAAACAAUGUGCAGAACAUGGUUGUUUUGCCUGCAUUUGCUUAACUAGGCCCAACCGAGGCAAGCAUGCAAAGGGAAAAAAGACGACACACACAACCAAACAAGCCCAUGUCGAUCACUCUCCUCUCCGGAUGUUUCCCAUUGGCGCUUCAGUGCAGAUGUUGUGGUUGACCGCACCGUCUAUCUCCACCGACCACGUCUAUGGUUUGAGUACGGAGGUGGAAUUUACUGGAGACAAUGAAAUAUAAGGGUGCAGAUGCUCCAACGCAGGUGUUGUGGCUGACCACACCGUUGAUCUCCAUUGGCCACGGCUAUGGUUUGAGGACGGAGGUGGAAUUUGCUGGAGACAAUGAAAUCUACGGGGUAGUUUUAUAUUUCCACACACAAACAAUGCUUUCUUAUAAACUGGGUAUUCACAAAAAAAUAGGUUAAUCAUCUUAAAACUGGUUUUCUAUACAUGUGUGGCUAUCCAAACAACUGCUCAGUUAUGUUGCCAACAAUUGAGGAUCAAAUCAAACUUGUGUAAAAUGUGAACUUCGUUCAGUAGAUGAUAUGGGCACAUGAAUCAACUAGAGAGCCGCCAAAUUAUCAUUUUGGGGGAAUUCUUAGUAGCAAACGUGUAUGCAUGUCUUUUCAUGCGACUGUUAAUAUGAUUGGGAAGUGUUAUUUAGGUGAUGUUAGUUUUUUUGUCCCUUCCAACAAACAACCUCUGUGUUGUUAGAUGUGUCGCACGAUUGUUGUCUACCAUGUCUAGGUUCGGUGCAACCGUUCACUGUAACCGCGCCCAUAGCGACUUGCCUCCUCCUACUUUAUCUGUUUCCACAUCAUGGUCGGGCAACCAUUCGCGGUAACCAGGCCUGCAACAAAUUGCCCCUGCUUCAUUUGUUUCUUAUCCCCACUCGGUGCACUCACCACACAUUACUCCACCUUCUCUCUCGCCUCUCACUCUCCUCUCCCUCGUAGGCGAUUCAUGGCAGUUGUGGCUUCUUCACCGGUGAAUCGAGCGCCAUUGGUCGUAGGUAUCAAGGUUUGCCUCCCCCGCUUCUGCAUUGUGCCAUAGGUGGAGGUAUGUGAUACGUCUCCAAUGUAUCUAUAAUUUAUGAAGUAUUCAUGCCAUGAUUACAACAAUUCUAUAUGGUUUUGGUAUGAUUUGAAUGGAACUAACCCGGACUAACACUAUUUUCAGCAGAACUACCGUGGUGUUAUUUUUGUGCGGAAAUAAAAGUUCUCCAAAUGCAACAAAUUUUUUUGACGAUUUUUUUGGAACAAAAGAGGCACUAGAAGCUUCAUGGGAGGACCAGAAGAUAAGGGAGGUGAACACUACCCACCAGGGCACGCCACCCCCUCUAGCAUGCUCUGCGCCUAGUGGGCCCCUUGUGGACCAUCUUAGUGUGAAACCGACGCCAAAAAAUCCUAUAAAUACAGAAACCUCCAGAAACAACUCUAGACCGGAAGUUCCGCCGCCACAAGCCUCUAUAGCCACAAAAAACCAAUCUGGACCCUGUUUUGGCACUCUGUCGGAGGGGGAAAUCAUCACCGGAGGCCAUCUUCAUCAUCCCGAUGGCCACCAUGAUGAUGAGGGAGUAGUCCACCCUCAGGGCUAAGGGUUUGUACCAGUAGCUAUGUGUUUAAUCUCUCUCUCUCUCUCUCACGUUCUUGAUUUGGCACGAUCUUGAUGUAUCAUGAGCUUUGUUAAUAUAGUUGGAUCAUAUGGUGUUUUCCCCUCUCUAUCUUGUUGUGAAUGAAUUGAUUUUUCCCUUUGAGAUUUCGUUAUUGUCAGAUUGAAUACUUUUAUGGAUUUGAGAACAAUUGAUGUAUGUCUUGCUAUGAAUACCCGUGGUGACAAUGGGGUAUCAUAUUAAUUCACUUGAUGUGUGUUUUGGCACUCAACUCUCGGAUUCCCGAGGUGACAUUGGGGUAAUAUAUGCAUAGGGGUUGAUGCAUGUUUUCUUCUUUGUUUCUUCAGUAGAAAUCUUGGGGCACUCUUUGAAGUUCUUUGUGCUGGAUUGAGUAUUUUGAAUCUGAAAUUGUUUGAUGCAUAUCGUAUAAUCAACUCACAGAUACUCAUGGUGACAUUGGAGUAUCUAGGUGACAUUAGAGUUGGUUGAUGCUUAUCAUAUGGUGUUAUUUUAGUAUGAACUCUAGGGCUGCUUGUGACACUUAUAGGGAUAGCUCAAAAGAUCGAUCAAAAAGAAUAACUUUGAGGUGGUUUCGUACCCUACAAAUAAUUUCUUCUUAUAUUCUCCGCUAGAUAAGAACUUUGGAGUGAUUCUUCAUCGCACGUUGAGGGAUGAUUAUAUGAUCCAAUUACAUUAGCAUUGUUGAGAGAUUGCACUAGCGAAAGUAUGGACCCCAGGCCUCAUUUUCAAGCAUUGCAAUACCGUUUGUGCUCACUUUUGUUACUUGCUACCUUGCUGUUUUUUAUUGUUCCUAUUACAAAAAUCAAUAUCUACUAUUAUUACUACACUUUUAUCACCAUCUCUUCUCCGAACUAGUGCACAUAUACAACUUACCAUUGUAUUUGGUGUGUUGGGACACAAGAGACUCUUUGUUAUUUGGUUGUAGGGUUGUUUGAGAGAGACCAUCUUCAUCCUACACCUCCCAUGGAUUGAUAAACCUUAGGUCAUCCACUUGAGGGAAAUUUACUAUUGUCCUACAAAAUUCUGCGGUUGGAUGCCCAACACGAGUCUACAAGAAUAAAGUUGCGUAGUAGAUAUCAAGCUCUUUUCUGGCGCCGUUGCCGGGGAGGUGAGUGCUUGAAGGUAUAUCUUUAGAUCUUGCAAUUGAAUCUUUAAGUUUCUUUAUUUAUCACUAGUUUGGUUUAUAAAAGAAAACUACAAACAAAUGCGGAAUUGAGGUGGCCUCAUAUUAUUCGUCUUUAUCAUGUCUUUCUUGAAAAUGAUGGAAAGGAAAAUUGUGCUUAAUCGAUAGAAGAAGAAUUCAAUAAAAUGUUUGGCAUAAAAUCAUUGAAUGAUGAGCAUGAUUGCAAUGUUGCUAGUAUAAAUUCUUUGAAUAUCUAUGAUGUUAAUCAUAUGCAAAGCCAUAAGCUUGGGGAUGCUAUGUUUGAUGAAGAUGAUAUUUUUUGUUCCCCAAGUUUGAUGAGAAAAUCUAUUAUGAUGAUUGCAUGCCUCCUAUUUGUGAUGAUUAUAUUGAUCAAAGUGGGUUUAGAAGAGUGUCAACUCUAGGUACUAGUGAUCCCACUAUUUUGGAGGGUGUUGAAUCUUAUUGUAAUAAUUAUGAAAGUGGAUUUGGAGAGGUCAUGAUUUUAUUUAAUGUUGAACCACUAUUUUGGAAGAGGUUUCAAUUGAUUAUUAUGAGAACAAAGUUUCUAUCUAUGAUGAUUAUUGUGAUGACACUUAUGAUAUAAAGAAUAAUGAUAGCCAUGAAACUUGUCAUCAUGAUUUUAAUAUUCAAUUAUGUUAUGCCAAUCAAGUAUCACAUGAUAGUUAUUUUGUUGAGUUUUCUCCAACUACUAUUGAUGAGAAUAAAUUUGCUUGUGUGGAGAGUAAUAUAAUUUCUAUGCUUGUGGAUCAUGAAAAGAAUGCUUUAUGUGAUAGCUAUAUUGUUGAAUUCAUUCAUGAUGCUACUGAAAAUUACUAUGAGGGAGGAACAUAUGCCUCUACAUAUCUCAAUAAUAUGAAGUUUCCUCUCUACGUGUUGAAAAUUUUGAAGUUAUGCUUGUUUUGUCUUCCUAUGCUAGUGGAUUCUUGCUCCGUGAUUUGUUUGAUCACAAAAUCCCUAUGCAUAGGAAGUGGGUUAGGCUUAAAUGUGCCUGCCAUGUGAUUCGUGAUGCUCUCUUUGUGGUUCAUUUCUUUACUUUUAUGUGAGCAUCAUUGAAAUCAUCAUGUCUAGCUAGAAAGGCAUGAAAGAAAAGCGCUUGUUAGGAGACAACCCAACACUUACAUCUACUGUUUUUGUGUGCUCACAUGAUUAAGAUACUGUAGUAAUCAUGUUUUAUAGCUUUUGUUUCAAUAAAAUUACCAAGUAAAGCCUUUGGGAUAGUGUGGAUGACAGUUGACAUGAUUCUGUGCAAAAACAGAAACUUUUGCGCCCAGUAACAGAAUUGUUAAAAAUCAAUGGUGCGUCAAAAAUUCUGAUUUUUUUUACAGAUGUUUGAUAUACAAAUUUCCUACAUUUUCCUAAUUGUUCAGAAUGUUUGGAGUAGUAGAAGUAUGGUCAUUGUUUAGACCAUUACAUACUGUUCUAUUUUUGACAGUUUCUAUUUUCAAUGCAUAGUUUGCUUGUUUUCUAGUUUCUAUGGCUCAUAUUGCUCAAUAUAAAUUGUGGAAAUGAUAAUGUACAAUAGGCAUUGUGUGAGAGCAAAUAUGAAUCUUGUCUUUGACAGUACCAAAGUGAAUGAUUUGUCUUUAUCAUACUAACUUAUGUCACAAAGUUCCGUUAAGUUUUGUGUGAUUGACGUUUUCAAGUUUUGGGUGAGAAAUUGAUAUGAGAAGAAUAAGGAGUGGCAAGACACUAAGCUUGGGGAUUCACAAGUCACCCCAAGGUAAUAUUCAAGGAAUACCCAAGCAACUAAGCUUGGGGAUGCCCCAGAAGGCAUCCCCUCUUUCAUCUUCAACAUUAUCGGUAACCUCACUUGGGACUAUAUUUUUAUUCGUCACAUGAUAUGAGUUUUGCUUGGAGAGUCAUUUUAUUUUGUUGAGAUUUGCUUGGUUUUAUUUAUAACAAUGUUUUGUAUCUUUUACUUCAAUAAAAAUGUCAAGUAUAGCCUUUACCAUGCUUAUUUUGCAAGUCUACAUGUUGGUGUUUGAAACAGAAUUUUUUCUAUCAUUGUCUAAAUUCUUAUGGAAAUUAAGAACAUGAUAAAAUCUUGAAAUUUUUACACAAUAAGCUAAAAGAAAUUUUCUACAGUGUGGUAAAUUUACAGAAUUUUUGGAGUGAGAGAAGUAUGAAUCUUCUUGCAUCCUUUAAAGACUAUCCUGUUUAGACAUAUUGCUGUUAUGUUUGCGUUGUUUGCAUAUGUUUGCUUGUUUAAUGAUUCUAUUUUAGGAUAGGAGUAUUAAAUAUGCAGAGGCAUUUAGUAUGCAAUGUUAAAUAAUAAUUUUAGUGAUUUGUUACACUAGAGAAUGAUAAGGUUUUGCAUUGAUUUAUACUAAUUUAUCUCACGAGUUCUUGUUGAGUUUUGUGUGGAUGAAGUUUUUGAGAUUUAGGGAAACCGUGAUAUAAAAGGAAUUAAGGAGAUAGAAAAGCUCAAGUGCCCAAGGCAUCCCAAUAUAAUAUUUCAAGAAGUCUCAAGCAUCUAAGCUUGGGGAUGCCUCGAUAGAAUUCCAUCGUUCUUCAUCAACAAUUAUCGGUUAGCCUCGGUUGAGCCUAAGUUUUUGCUUCAUUACAUGAUGUGUGCUAUUCUUGGAAUGUCACUUUAUUUUGUUUGGCUUGCUAUUUUAAUAAAAUACUUAGAUCUGAAAUUUUUAAAUGGGAGAGAGAGUCCUCACAUAUCUACCUAUUUACUUAACUAGUCACUUGAUCUUCAGUUAUAUCUUUUUGGAGUAGUUUGUCGAUCACUCUCAUGCUUCACUUAUAUUAUUUUGAGAUUUUAUAGUAGUCAUGAAAAUUUGCACAAGCUAUGAAAUUGGUCCUAAUAUGAUGAAUAUCCAAGAAGGAUAUAAUAAAAAGUUUCAUAUAGAUCAUUGGAUGAUAGUUUGGUUCCUUGCAAUAGUUUUGCAAUAUGGAGAUAGUAAUAUGUGAGUCAUGUUCGUGAGUAAUUAUGGUUUAGUAAGAUUAUUGGUGUUAAGGUUUGUGAUUCCAUAUGCAGGCACGGAAGUCAAUAGUUAUGCAAUGAAGUUACAUCCUACUUGUGGUGCAUUAUUCGAUGUUAGUUAUGCUUAAUGCUCGUUUAUGAUCGUUUUCGUUUCUUGGUUGGUUGCUUCUUAAUCUAUUUGCCAGCCUUUCCUUGUACUAAGCGGAAUACUGCUUGUGCAUCCAAAAUCCUAAACCAAGUUGUGCCAAAUGAGUCCACCAUACCUACCUAUAUACGUUAUUUCCAUGCCAUUCCAAGUAAAUUUGUAUGUGCCAACUCUAAUUUUCAAAAUGAAUUUCCUUUUUGUGUGCCUGUACCGCCCAUGAAGCGGCAAGGGGUGGCCGAUAUUUUCCAUGCUAGAUAUGUUAUUCUCAAGAUGAGUGUUUAUUCACUUGUCAUUGCAUGAUACUAUGGCAAGUUAAUAGGGAUGCCAGUCCCGAAAUGAAUUUUUUUAUUUAUGUUGUCAAAUAAUAAAUUCCUUGGAAAGUGUUGGUAUGGAGGGCACCCGUGGAUACGGCUAGACAUGGAUUGUGAAAGAAUGGUGGAAAAAGGAAUAAACUUUAUUUUAUGUUUGGGAACCGCCUAUGAUGUAUAUAGCAUGGAAAGUAUUGGGAAUUCUCGGUCAUUUUCGUUGACACGGAAAGCAUGCCUCUCAAAAUAUUUUAUCUCUCAAUUUAAGCUUUGAGCUCUAGCACCUCUACAAAUCUCUGCUUCCCUCUAUGAAGGACCUAUCUAUUUACUUUAUGCAUUUUUUUGUACUUUUGAGUCUCCAUCUUGUCUUAUAAAGCACCAACUAGGGAGCACUAUGAUCAUACUUGUGCAUUGGAUGUAGCUAAUAUUUGAGUGUGUUUCAUGAAUGGAUCAAUGAUUGAGCAUGAUGGGCUAGGGAUAGCUUUCUUUCGUGUUGAUAUUUUGAAAUACAUGGUUUCUUGUUGAUAUGCUUGAGUAUUGAUGUCCUCAUGUCAAUUAAAGACUAUUGCUUUGAAUCAUUCAAGUCCUAAUAUCCAUGCCACAAAGAACGAGUAUAUGAUGAAUAUGAUAGGUAGCAUUCCACAAGAAAAAUUAUGUUUUCCAUUGCUACUUUAUCAUGAUGAGUUUUAUGAGAAAGACUUGCUGUUAUGAUGCCAGGAAAAGUGAUUGAAAUUAUCAUUGGUCAAACUUAUGCACUAUGCUAGCAUUCAUACUUCACAAAUUGUUUAUAUUAUCAUUUACCUACUCGAGGACGAGUAGGAAUUAAGCUUGGGGAUGCUGAUAUGUCUCCAACGUAUCUAUAAUUUAUGAAGUAUUCAUGCCAUGUUUACAACAAUUCUAUAUGGUUUUGGUAUGAUUUGAAUGAAACUAACCCGGACUGAUGCUGUUUUCAGCAGAACUACCGUGUUGUUGUUUUUGUGCAGAAAUAAAAGUUCUCCAAAUGCAACAAAACUUUUUGACGAUUUUUUCUGGAAAAAGAAGCACUAGAAGCUUCAUGGGAGGACCAAAAGAUACAGGAGGUGGCCACUACCCACUAGGGCGCGCCACCCCCUCUGGCGCACCCUGGUGCCUAGUGGGCCCCUCGCGACCCAUCUCAGCGUGAAACCAGCCCCAAAAAAUACUAUAAGAAACCCCUAGAAAUAACCCUAGAUCGGAAGUUCCGCUACCGCAAGCCUCUAUAGCCAUGAAAAACCAAUCUGGAUCCUAUUCCGGCACCCUGCAGAAGGGGAAAAUCAUCACCGGAGGCCAUCUUCAUCAUCCUGACGGCCACCAUAAUGAAGAGGGAGUAGUCCACCCUCGGGGUUGAGGGUUUGUACCAGUAGCUAUGUGUUUAAUCUCUCUCUCUCUCAUGUUCUUGAUUUGACAUGAUCUUGAUGUAUCGUGAGCUUUGUUAAUAUAGUUGGAUCAUAUGGUGUUUUCCCCUCUCUAUCUUGUUGUGAUGAAUUGAGUUUUCCCUUUGAGAUUUCGUUAUUAUCAGAUUGAAUACUUUUAUGGAUUUGAGAACACUUGAUGUAUGUCUUGCUAUGAAUACCCGUGGUGACAAUGGGGUAUCAUAUUGAUUCACUUCAUGUGUGUUUUGGCACUCAACUCGCGGAUUCCCGAGGUGACAUUGGGGUAAUCUAUGCAUAGGGGUUGAUGCAUGUUCUCGUCUCUGUUUCUCUGGUAGAAAUCUUGGGGCACUCUUUGAGGUUCUUUGUGUUGGAUUGAUAAUUAGAAGCUGAAAUUGUUUGAUGCAUAUCGUAUAAUCAACUCACGGAUACUCACUGUGACAUUGGAGUAUCUAGGUGACAUUAGAGUUGGUUGAUGUGUAUCAUAUGGUGUUAUUUUAGUACGAACUCUAGGGCUGUUUGUGACACUUAUAGGAAUAGCUCAAAAGAUCGAUCGGAAAUGAUAACUUUGAGGUGGUUUUGUACCCUACAAAUAAUUUCUUCUUAUGUUCUCCGCUAGAUAAGAACUUUGGAGUGAUUCUUCAUCGCACGUUGAGGGAUGGUUAUAUGAUCCAAUUAUAUUAGCAUUGUUGAGAGAUUGCACUAGCGAAAGUACGAACACUAGGCCUCAUUUUCAAGCAUUGCAUUACCAUUUGUGCUCACUUUUGUUACUUGCCACCUUGUUGUUUUUAUUGUUCCUAUUAGAAAAAUCAAUAUCUACUAUUAUUACUACACUUGUAUCACCAUCUCUUCGCUGAGCUAGUGCACCUAUACAAUUUACCAUUGUAUUUGGUGUGUUGGGGAAACAAGAGACUCUUUGAUAUUUGGUUGCAGGGUUGUUUGAGAGAGACCAUUUUCAUCCUACACCUCCCAUGGAUUGAUAAACCUUAUGUCAUCCACUUGAGGGAAAAUUGCUACUGUGCGCUUGGAGGCCCAACACGACUCUACAAGAAUAAAGUUGCAUAGUAGACAUCAGUAUGCUGCCGGCCACACCUCAUCUCCUCUAGUUUUUCUCGACUUCAUCCUUGCGGGUUUCCGCGGAGAGUCAAUUAAUUGCUCAUGGCGGCGGCGACGGUUUUUUAUCUGGUUGACAAUGAUGAGUUCGCAACCAAGGACAGUGUUCAUGUAUUUCGUGAUGACAGUUGCAGUCAAUGGUCGAGGGGGAGUAGGUUUUUGCAAGGUUCUUUUGUGUUGUAGUAGGGGAGUGCUAUGGUGGUUGAUGUCUACUACACAACCUUCUUCUUGUAGAUGUUGUUGGGCCUCCAACUGCAGAGGUUUGUAGGACAGUAGCAAAUUUCCCUCAAGUGGAUGACCUAAGGUUUAUCAAUCCGUGGGAGGCAUAGGAUGAAGAUGAUCUCUCUCAAACAAUCCUGCAACCAAAUAACAAAGAGUCUCUUGUAUCCCCAACACACCCAAUACAAUGGUAAAUUGUAUAGGUGCACUAGUUCGGCGAAGAGAUGGUGAUACAAGUGCAAUAUGGAUGGUAUAUAUAGGUUUUUGUAAUCUGAAAUUAUAAAAACAACAAGGUAACAAGUGAUAAAAGUGAGCGUAAACGGUAUUGCAAUGGUAGGAAACAAGGCCUAGGGUUCAUACUUUCACUAGUGCAAGUUCUCUCAACAAUAAUAACAUAAUUAGAUCAUAUAACUAUCCCUCAACAUGCAACAAAGAGUCACUCCAAAAUCACUAAUAGCGAAGAACAAACGAAGAGAUUAUGGUAGGGUACGAAACCAACUCAAAGUUAUUCUUUCCCAUCAAUCGAUUGGGCUAUUCCUAUAAGUGUCACAAACAACCAUAGAGUUCGUAAUAAAAUAACACCUUAAGACACACAUCAACCCAAAACCCUAAUGUCACCUAGAUACUCCAAUGUCACCUCAAGUAUCCGUGGGUAUGAUUAUACGAUAUGCAUCACACAAUCUCAGAUUCAUCUAUUCAACAAACACAAAGAACUUCAAAGAGUGCCCCAAAGUUUCUACCAGAGAGUCAAGACGAAAACGUGUACCAACCCCUAUGCAUAUAUUCCCAAGGUCACGGAACCCACAAGUUGAUCACCAAAACAUACAUCAAGUGAAUCAAUAGAAUACCCCAUUGUCACCACGAGUAUCCCAUGCAAGACAUACAUCAAGUGUUCUCAAAUCCUUAAAGACUCAAUCUGACAAGAUAACUUCAAAGGGAAAACUCAAUCCAUUACAAGAGACUAGAGGGGGAGAAACAUCAUAAGAUCCAACAAUAAUAGCAAAGCUCGCGGUACAUCAAGAUUGUGCCAUAGAGAGAACACGAGAGAGAGAGAUCAAACACAUAGCUACUGGUACAUAUCCUCAACCCCGAGGGUGAACUACUCCCUCCUCGUCAUGGAGAGCGCCGGGAUGAUGAAGAUGGCCACCGGUGAUGAUUCCCCGUCCGGUAGGGUGCCAGAACAGGCUCCCGAGAGGCUUGCGGCGGCGGAACUCCCGAUCUAGGUUUGUUUUCGGUGGUUUCUAUAUUUAUAGGAAUUUUUGGCGUCGGUAUCACGUCAAGGGGGUCUCCGACUCGUCCACGAGAUAGGGGGGCGCACCCAGGGGGGUAGGGCGUGCCCUCCACCCUCGUGGACAGCUCGGGACUCUUCUGGCCCAACUCUUUCAUUUCUGGGGCUUCUUUUGGUCCAUAAAAAAUCAUCAAAAAUUGGCACGUAAAUUGGACUCCGUUUGGUAUUCCUUUUCUGUAAAACUCAAAAAUAAGGAAAAAACAAAAACUGGCACUGGUCUCUAGGUUAAUAGGUUACUACCAUAAAUCAUAUAAAAUAGCAUAUAAAUGCAUAUGAAACAUCCAAGAUGGAUAAUAUAAUAGCAUGGAACAAUAAAAAAUUAUAGAUACAUUGGAGACGUAUCAAGCAUCCCCAAGCUUAAUUCCUGCUCGUCCUAAAGUAGGUAAAUGAUAAAAACAGAAUUUUUGAUGUGGAAUGCUACCUAACAUAUUUAUCAAUGUAAUCUUCUAUAUUGUGGCAAAGAAUAUUCAGAUCCAUAAGAUUCAAAACAGAAGUUCAAUAUUGACAUAAAAACAAUAAUACUUCAAGCAUACUAACAAAGCAAUCAUGUCUUCUCAAAAUAACAUGGCCAAAGAAAGCUAUCCCUACAAAAUCAUAUAGUCUGGCUAUGCUCUAUCUUCAUCACACAAAAUAUUUAAAUCAUGCACAACCUUAGUUUUAGCCAAGCAAUUGUUUCACACUUUAGUAUUGUCAAACUUUUUCAACUUUCACGCUAUACAUGAGUGUGAGCCAUGGACAUAGCAUUGUAGGUGGAAUAGAAUGGUGGUUGUGGAGAAGACAAAAAGAAGGAAGAUAGUCUCACAUCAACUAGGCAUAUCAAUAGGCUAUGGAGAUGCCCAUCAAUGUGAGUGAUUAGGGAUUGCCAUGCAACGGAUACACUAGAGCUAUAAGUGUAUGAAAGCUCAAAAAGAAACUAAGUGGGUGUGCAUCCAACUUGCUUGCUCAUGAAGACCAAGGGCACUUUGAGGAAGCCCAUCAUUGGAAUAUACAAGCCAAGUUCUAUAAUGAAAAAUUCCCACUAGUAUAUGAGAGUGACACCAUAUGAGACUCUUUAUCAUGAAGAUUAUGGUGCUACUUUGAAGCACAAGUGUGGUAAAAGGAUAGUUUGCCCCUUCUCUCUUUUUCUCUCAUUUUUUUUUUGUUUUUUGGGCCUUCUAUAUUUUUUGGCGUUUUUUAAAUUUUCUUUUAUUUUCGUCCGAAGUCUCAGCCCGACUUGUGGGGGAAUUAUAGUCUCCAUCAUCCUUUCCUCACUGGGACAAUGCUCUAAUAAUGAUGAUCAUCACACUUUUAUUAACUUACAACUCAAGAAUUACAACUCGAUACUUAGAACAAAAUAUGACUAUAUGAAUGCCUCUGGCGGUGUAGCGGGAUGUACAAUGAAUCAAGAGUGACAUGUAUGAAAGAAUUAUUAAUGGUGGCUUUGCCACAAAUACAAUGUUAACUACAUGAUCAUGCAAAGCAAUAUGACAAUGCUUAAGCGUGUCAUAAUAAAUGGAACGGUGGAAAGUUGCAUGGCAAUAUAUCUCAGAAUGGCUAUGAAAAUGCCAUGAUAGGUAUGUAUGGUGGCUCUUUUGUGGAAGGUAAUGGUGGGUUUAUGUCACCAGCGAAAGUUGCACGGCACAAGAGAGUCUAGCAAUGGUGGAAGGGUGAGAGUGCGUAUAAUCCAUGGACUCAACAUUAGUCAUAAAGAACUCACAUACUUAUUGCAAAAAUCUAUUAGUCAUCAAAAUAAAGUACUAUGCACAUCCUCCUAGGGAAGGGUUGGUAGGAGUUAACCAUCGCGCGAUCCCGACCUCCACACAAAGGAUAACAAUCAAUAAAUAAAUCAUGCUCCAACUUCAUCACAUAACGGUUCACCAUACGUGCAUGCUACAGGAAUCAAAAACCUCAACACAAGUAUUUCUCAAAUUCACAACUACUCCACUAGCAUGACUCUAAUAUCACCAUCCUCAUAUCUCAAAACAAUCAUAAAGAAUCAAACUUGUCAUAGUAUUCAAUGCACUCUAUAUGAAAGUUUUUAUUAUAUCCCUCUUGGAUGCCCAUCAUAUUAGGACUAAAUUCAUAACCAAAGCAAAUUACCAUGCUGUUCUAAAAGACUCUCAAAAUAAUAUAAGUGAAGCAUGAGAGUUCAUCUAUUUCUUCAAAAUAAGACCACCGUCGUGCUCUAAAAGAUAUAAGUGAAGCACUAGAGCAAACGACAAACUACUCCAAAAGAUAUAAGUGAAGAUCAAUGAGUAGUCGAAUAAUUAUGUAACUAUGUGAAGACUCUCUAACAUUUAAGAAUUUCAGAUAUUAAUAUUUUAUUCAAGCAGCAAGAAAAACAAAAUAAAAUAAAAUGGCGCUCCAAGCAAAACACAUAUCAUGUGGUGAAUAAAAAUAUAGCUCCAAGUAAAGUUACCGAUGAACGAAGACAAAAGAGGGGAUGCCAUCCGGGGCAUCCCCAAGCUUAGGCUCUUGGUUGUCCUUGAAUAUUACUUUGGGGUGCCUUGGGCAUCCCCAAGCUUAGGCUCUUGCCACUCCUUGUUCCAUAGUCCAUCAAAUCUUUACCCAAAACUUGAAAACUUCACAACACAAAAAUCAACAAAAAACUCGUAAGCUCCGUUAGUAUAAGAAAAUAAAAUCACCACUUAGGUACUAUUGUGAACUCAUUAUAAAUUCAUAUUGGUGUUAUAUCUAGUGUGUUACAACUUCUCCAUGGUUCAUACCCUCCGAUACUACUCAUAGAUUCAUCAAAAUAAGCAAACAACACAUAGAAAACAGAAUUUGUCAAAAACAGAACAGUCUGUAGUAAUUUGUAACUCUCGAAUACUUAUGUAACCCCAAAAAUUAUGAAAUAAAUUUUUGGACUUGAGGAGUUUGUCUAUUAAUCUUCUGCAAAAAUAAUCAACUUAAAAUCACUCUUCUGUAAAAAAUGACAUCUAUUCUCGUUUUUGUUUUUUACAGCAAGAUCACAUUAACUUUCACCCAAGUCUUCCCAAAGGUUCUUCUUGGCACUUUAUUGAAACAAAAGCUAUAAAACAUGAUUACUACAGUGGCUUAAUCAUGUGUGCACCCAAAAAAAGUAAGGGUAAAUAUUGGGUUGUCUCUCAACAAGCGCUUUUCUUUAUUGUCUUUCUAGCUAGGCAUGAUGAUUUCAAUGAUGCUCACAGAAAAGAUAAGAAUUGAAACAUAAUGGGAGCAUCAUGAAGAAUAUUACUAGCACAUUUAAGUCUAACCCACUUCCUUUGCAUAGGGAUUUUGUGAGCAAACAACUUAUGGGAACAAGAAUCAACUAGCAUAGGAAAGCAAAACAAGCAUAGCUUCAAGAUUUACAACACAUAGAGAGGAAACUUGAUAUUAUUGUAAUUCCUACAACCAUAUAUUCCUCCCGCAUAAUAAUUUUCAGUAGCAUCAUGGAUGAAUUCAACAAUAUAACCAUCACAUAAAGCAUUAUUUCCAUGAUCCCCACGCAUAUAAAUUUUAUUACUCUCCACAUAAGCAAAAUUCUUCUCAUUCAGAAUAGUGGGAGUAUCAUAAGAAACUCGAAUACUAUAAAUUGUUUCCACAUUAAAAAAGCAAUGUUUAGAAAAAGGGUAAUCAUAAUAAUUACAAGUUUUAUAAAUAUAAUCAUCACUACUUUUUAUAGCACAAGUAUCAUCACAAUAAUCAUCAUAAGUAGCAACUUUGUUCUCAUCAUAAUCAAUUGAAACCUCUUCCGAGAUAGUGGAAUCAUUACUAAAUAAAGUCACGACCUCUCCAAAUCCACUGUCAACAAUAUAAUCAUCAUAAUUAGGAGGCAUUGAAUCAUCAUAAUAAAUUUGCAUAUCAAAACUUGGCAGAUUAAAAAUAUCAUCAUUAAUAAGCAUAGCAUCCCCAAGCUUGGGACAAACAUUAAUUGCAGCAAAUAAAUUCUCAAACAUGUCAUUCUCAUCAAACAUAGCAUCCCCAAGCAUGGGCCUUUUCAUAUCAUAAUCAUAAUCACUCUCAUCAUUAGUAGUAUGGAUAACACCAAUAGUAUAGCAACAAUUAUCAUUACAAUGAGUAGUAGGAGAAACAUCAUUUGGGAGGGAUGCCUUUUUACCUUUGCUUCUCCGUUUUUUCUUUUUCUUCUUCACAUCAUGUGUGGGUUUAAUCCUCUUUUUGGAGCUCCUUCUUAAUGAGAUUGGUUGAAUAGAAGGCUCCUCCUUGUUACCUGAUUUAUCAUAAGAAAAAAUAGGAGGAUAUUGGGAAAUCUCUUCCCUUUCAUUAGUAUUCUCUUUUAUUUGUUUUCUUGUCUUUAUUUAAUUGGCAAUAUAAGGAUUUUCAAUGCAAUUCACCGCACAAUACAUAUAAAUUUCCUCUAGAUCAAAAUCAAGAACUUUAUCAAGGACAAAUUCUGGCAUAUCCUUAGUUAUACGUUUCAUUUCUUCAUAACCCACAAGCAAACUAAGUUCACUAUGAUGCGCAAGGGAAAUCAAGUCAUCACAAUUUUUGGACACGAUACGAUCAUGGAACAAUUUGCAUUGGAUAUUUAAAUGACCACGUUCAAUGCAAAGUUCACAAGGAUGGCUAAGAAAAUUUAAAUUUUUAGCACAAACAUCUAGCCUUUAUUGCAACCAUUUAGUUUCUAAAUACUUAUGCCUCUUGCAAAAUCUAUCUUCCCUAUUUGGUGUGUACUUGCAAACUCUAUGCACUCCACAAAAGUUGACAUGCUUAUAAGAGACAUUUUCAUCAUGACUAGUUCAAUCAUCAUUAGUACUAUGGAUAUUCAAAGAGUUCAUACUAACAACAUUACAAUCAUGAUCAUCAUUCAAAGAUUUAGUACCAAACAUUUUAAUGCAUUCUUCUUCUAGCACUUGGGCACAAUUUUCCUUUCCAUCAUUUUCACAAAAGAUAUUAAAAAGGUGAAGCAUAUGAGGCACCCUCAAUUCCAUUUUUUGUAGUUUUCUUUUACAGACUAAACUAGUGAUAAAACAAGAAACUAAAAGAUUCGAUUACAAGAUCUAAAGAUAUACCUUCAAGCACUAACCUCCCCGGCAACGGCACCAGAAAAGAGCUUAGUUGAUAGGGUGUUAGUGCCGCUUACCUAGCCUCCCCGGCAAUGGUGCUAGAAAAGAGUUUGAUGUCUACUACACAACCUUCUUCUUGUAGACGUUGUUGGGCCUCCAAGUGCAGAGGUUUGUAGGACAGUAGAAAGUUUCCCUCAAGUGGAUGGCCUAAGGUUUAUCAAUCCGUGGGAGGCAUAGGAUGAAGAUGGCCUCUCUCAAACAACCCUGCAAACAAAUAACAAAGAGUCUCUUGUGUCCCCAACACACCCAAUACAAUGGUAAAUUGUAUAGGUGCACCAGUUCGGCGAAGAGAUGGUGAUACAAGUGCAAUAUGAAUGGUAUAUAUAGGUUUUUGUAAUCUGAAAUUAUAAAACAACAAGGUAAAAAGUGAUAAAAGUUAGCGUAAAUGGUAUUGCAAUGGUAGGAAACAAGGCCUAGGGUUCAUACUUUCACUAGUGCAAGUUCUCUCAACAAUAAUAACAUAAUUAAAUCAUAUAACUAUCCCUCAACAUGCAACAAAGAGUCACUCCAAAAUCACUAAUAGCGGAGAACAAACGAAGAGAUUAUUGUAGGGUACGAAACCAACUCAAAGUUAUUCUUUCCCAUCAAUCGAUUAGGCUAUUCCUAUAAGUGUCACAAACAUCCCUUGAGUUUGUAGUAAAAUAACACCUUAAGACACACAUCAACCAAAACCCUAAUGUCACCUAGAUACUCCAAUGUCACCUCAAGUAUCCGUGGGUAUGAUUAUAUGAUAUGCAUCACACAACCUCAGAUUCAUCUAUUCAACCAACACAAAGAACUUCAAAGAGUGCCCCAAAGUUUCUACCGGAGAGUCAAGACGAAAACAGGUGCCAACCCCUAUACAUAGAUUACCAAGGUCACAAAACCCGCAAGUUGAUCACCAAAACAUACAUCAAGUGAAUCAAUAGAAUACCCCAUUUUCACCACGAGUAUCCCACGCAAGACAUACAUCAAGUAUUCUCAAAUCCUUAAAGACUCAAUCUGACAAGAUAACUUCAAAGGAAAAACUCAAUCUAUUACAAGAGAGUAGAGGGGGAGAAACAUCAUAAGAUCCAACUAUAAUAGCAAAGCUCGCGGUACAUCAAGAUCAUGCCAUAGAGAGAACACGAGAGAGAGAGAGAGAGAGAGAGAGAGAGAGAUCAAACACAUAGCUACUGGUACAUACCCUCAACCCUGAGGUGAACUACUCCCUCCUCGUCAUGGAGAGCGCCGGGAUGUUGAACAUGGCCACCGGUGAUGAAUUCCCCCUCCAGCAGGGUGCCGGAACGGGCUCCCGAGAGUUUUUUGGUGGGUAUAGAGGCUUGCGGCGGCGGAACUCCCGAUCUAGGUUUCUUUUCGGGGGUUUCUGUAUUUAUAGGAAUUUUUGGCGUCGGUCUCACGUCAGGGGGGGUCUCCGAGUCGUCCAUGAGAUAGGGGGCGCGCCCAGGGGGGUAGGGCGCGCCCUCCACCCUCAUGGAAGGCUCGGGACUCUUCUGGCCCAACUCUUUCAUUUCUGGGGCUUCUUUUGGUCCAUAAAAAAUCAUCAAAAAUUGGCACGUCAAUUGGACUCCAUUUGGUAUUCCUCUUCUAUAAAACUAAAAAACUAGGAAAAAACAGAAACUGGCACUGGGCUCUAGGUUAAUAGGUUAGUCCCAAAAAUCAUAUAAAAUAGCAUAUAAAUGCAUAUAAAACAUCCAAGAUGGAUAAUAUAAUAGCAUGGAACAAUAAAAAAUUAUAGAUACAUUGGAGACGUAUCAGUGGUCAUUGGGAAUUGGUGCGGCGGCGACCGUCGUGGCCAUGACGGCCAGAGGGGUGAGCACUUUGGCCGUCCGAUUUUGUUGUUGUUGGGAGGGGUUUGUGGUUUCAACCCUCCCUGUUACUAUGCAAAUAUACCCUUAUUUUUUGUGGUACUUAGGCUGAAAUUGCCAUCACAAUUAUAGAUGGUAGAUGGUAUUUUUGCUUCAUAGUCCAUAUAGUAUUUGAAUUCAUGUUGUGGAGGGUUGUAGAUGCUCUUUUUCCCGCUAUUUUUCACCAUGUUGAUUUAACUUAUUCAAUAGAAGUUUGCGAUGGUAUGUGUGAGAAACAUAAUUACCAUGGUAUAUGUGCGUGUGAGAGACAUAAUUUCCAUUGUAUAUGUGUGUGUGAGAAACAUCAUUGCCAUCACUGGUACGCGUCGGUGCUAUACAAACGGUUUUUAACCCCUUUCCACGACGACAUUUGGAACCGCCGCCAAGUAAGUGUGGGCGAUAGGGGGGUCCUUCCCACACGACCCAGAAAUCGUCGGGGAUAGGCCCUCCUGGGACACCAAAUGAGCUCAUGUGCGACCGGGCGAGGCAUCAAAACCCAAUCAUUUCCGUAGGUAUGUACAUCCCACACGGUGAAUCCCAAUUUUUUUUUCCGUAGGUAUGUAUAUCACACAGUCAAUCCAAGGAAUACAUUUCUGUUCUUAUGUACAUCCCACACAGUCAAUCCAGAGAAAACGUUUCCGUUCUUAUGUACAUCCCACACAGUCAAUGCAGGGAAAACGUUUCCGUUCAUAUGUACAUCCCACACAGUUUUAUGUGUAGGCUCGUGUGUGAAAGGUGUAACUAUCACACACACUCUGCCUUGGUUAACCGUUUGCUUUUAUCAACUACAUCACACACGAUUUGACGAAGAAAACUGUGUGGCAUUGGGCUAUCCAUCACAAGCGCUUUUACUGCUAGAACCGUUUGCAAAGUUCCAUGACACAUUUAGCAGGUUUAUUAGUUUACAAUUAAUAAUUCCAGUAUUAUGCAAAUUCACAUUUCAUAUCGAACAACUGUUUGCCAAUUUCAUCUCAGGCACAUAAAUAUAUUAUAACAUCACAGUAUGAUAGCUACAUGAAAACAACACAAUACACCAUAUAGCUAGUUCAACUUCAUAAUGACAAUAUAUUCAUUUCCCUAAUCGAGAUCAUCCAGGCUCGUCUUAUCCACCUCUGCUUUCAGUUCAGUAAGAACCUGUUUUGCACUGGCCAACUGGGAAAGUGCCUCCUCCUUCGCCAACGCCAUCUUAGCAAAGUCUGAUUUAAAAAAUCUGAGCUCAUUCUCCACCUUCCUCUUUUUAUCCCGCAUCUUCAAAUAUUCUUCGGCGUUGACAACACUUUCUUUGUUCUCUUCCUCAUACAUGCUCUAGAGCUUUGCUAGGCACAUCUUCAAAGACUGUGGCCACUCUUGAUCAACCCACUCCAAGUAAGAACACUUCCGUUCGUCCUAUAAUAUUUAAAACUAGAUUAGUAACAAUUUUAGGGUAAAUGGGUUUAUAGCAACAUACAAAAUCACCAAUGCUUAUUUUGAAAAACUGAAGAAACAUGUUAAUUAUGACAUAUCUUCUCAAAAAGAUCAAUGUGCAAAUGAAUUUAUUGCUACUGAGACAACAACCAAAUUCUGGAACAUCAGAAGCUAUAAUUAACUACAACAACGCUACAAGUUCUUACUCAUGUACAAUAAAUAACAAAUUGAACAGCUUAUGAGGAAGGUAAAUAUAACUGCAACAACAUAGCGAUAGUGUUUGGAUGACAGCAAAUUGAUACUAACAGGUAUGUACAUGCACAAAUUUAGUAACAUAGAACUAAUAGCACUAAGGCCGUCCACUAUGUAUGCCAAAACUGGUGUAAAUACAACUGUUGCUACAUCUCACACCGGUGCUCUGCACUGGCGAGCCGAUGCAGUGGAAAAAAAUCAGGGACCCGGACUCCGGAGCACCUAGUUGCUUUGAUGCCCAGUUCCUUUGUGCCAUAAAGCUUUAGUAUUUUACUGCUUGGCUGCUCGGAUGUGUGGACCAAAGUUGUCUGCAAAAACUGCUAAAGCGGUGCAAAAUAAUUUUCUAAUGGCACCGCUGAUGAGAUGGCAACAAUUUUAGAUACUAGGUACAAACUGUGACACUGUCUUAGGAUGCAUUUCGUUGAAGGUGUAGUAUGAAUGGGUUGGGACCGUGACAGUGUCUGAAUCACAUCUAACAAAUGAUUUGUAACAACGAAAGAGGGUCUAACCUUCUCUGCACAUGCCAGAAUCUUCCUCCCACUAUCCACAGAUUCAAACGCAACUAGCUUCACGCAUGGAGAUUGAUGGUGACAACGAGCAGAUAGAUCUUCAGCCACCCCGCUCCAUUCAUUGCCACUGAUGGUCCUAGGGAGCUACAAGAGGAAGAAAUGACUCAAAUUGACCGCCGGGUAAAAACCCUUCAUUCCAAGUCAUAGCCCGAGAGAGAGAAGAGAGGCAUACCCGGGUGGUGAAGGAGUCGUCGCCGGAGGAGGAACCGCUGGAGAGGUCUUUGAAGAAGACCAUGGCGACCCCGGCGGUAGGAUGCGAGACGGCAAGAGCGAGGAAGCGGCUAUAGCUUAGGAAGGAAGGAAGGAAGGAAGGAAGGAGGAAACAGGGGAAAUGUGACUUGUGGUUGGGGAGAAAAGGGGGUGGGGAAGGGGGGAGGGGGGCGGGGGUAGAUAUUUUGGCGGUAGGCCAAAAUUUUGGAAAUGUGGAGGGAAACUUUGUGCGCGGUGCCGUGGGACCAUUCACUUUGAACGAUUGUGUGCAUCGCAAACGAUUCUUCUACUUUACGCGCAUGGGAUGAGUUUGAUAAUUCAAAUUUUGGUGGAAAUUUCCCCGGGUACGUCAUUGCAUAAUUUAACAUCGCUUGCUAAUUUGGGCACACAAAAGAGCGUACAGCAGACAUACCACACUUACUGAAUUGAGCAAUUUUAGUAAUUAAACAGAGCCGGUUGACCUAAACAUUGCUCUAACAAAAGACCAGCAUUAAAAACAAAGCCUAAGUACACAUAAUUUUAACAAAUACGCCGCCACGCCGGCCUAUGCAUCGCCGGUGUGAGAUGAGAUGUCGAUGACUUGUCCUGGCGACAUGCCGCCGUUGGUGGACCCCGCGCCCCCCUGCUGAAGUUGACCGCAUCCUCGUCCUCGUCCUCGGCGCCGCCCUCAAGGCUGUAGUACUCAUAGUAGUGGCUGCGCCAGAGCUCGCGUUGGUACUCCACCGCCGAUUCCUUGACGGACAGACUCUUCUCUACCUUGACCUCGGCCAUGCACAACUCCUCCUCCCGGCGCUCCUCGAUCUCUUCUGCCUCCUGCAUCUCCAGGUCCCACUCGACGACCUCAUGAGGAAGCAGGUGCUCCAUGGCCACCGCCGCCUUUUCAGACGUGGGUUGCAUGCUGGAGUCCGAGGUGGCCUGGAAUAUCUUGGCGUGUGCAUCCUCGAUCUUGGCAUGGAUGGCCUUGACCCAGGCCAGGGCAACAUCGGCGGCACGGAUGGCAGCUCGAGCGCUCUCGGUGUUUGCAGCCGCCGUCACAACAGAAGUUGCAGCCAUCUCGGCUGCUGCAGCUGCCCUGUCGGAUGCCGCAGACGCCCUCUCGGCAAAAGCGACCACGCUCAAUGCGGAUACGGCGACACUCCUGGUGUAGGCGGCCGCUCUCNNNNNNNNNNNNNNNNNNNNNNNNNNNNNNNNNNNNNNNNNNNNNNNNNNNNNNNNNNNNNNNNNNNNNNNNNNNNNNNNNNNNNNNNNNNNNNNNNNNNNNNNNNNNNNNNNNNNNNNNNNNNNNNNNNNNNNNNNNNNNNNNNNNNNNNNNNNNNNNNNNNNNNNNNNNNNNNNNNNNNNNNNNNNNNNNUGCAAGAAGGGGGUGCGAGAAUAGGGAUCAGGAUUCGUGGAUUCGGGGGUUGCCAGCACUGGAGCAGACGAGCCGGCGAAGCUUAAGGAGGGAGACUUAAAUAGACCCAGAUAUUUUCAUCACAAACGGUUCCUAGAAAACAACUGUGUGUGAUGUUGUAGAUAUUUUUUAUUAGCUAUGAAAGAUGAAUUUAGAGUAAAGUGGCAACAGAUGGUGUUUAAAAUGAACGAGAAAUUUUAUAGUACUACUACAACUGUCAUGUCAAAUUUUGGAAAAUUUCAUGGGUCAUUUGAACUUUUAAGACAUUUAAGUGAUUUUCUAGCCACUUAAUGACCAUAAUUGAAAAUUGAACUACAUGUACAUGCAACAGCUAACCAUAACAGUUUGAAAGUCAUAUUUCGUGCACUUGUGUGCGAUUUAAUUCCAUGUGCAGUAAAUUGGAAGGAUUUUUCAAACAUAUUGGUCUAACAGCUAUGACACAAUUAAGCAUGGAGUGGCAUGGCAUUUAAAUUCGAAAAAACUUAAAAAAUAUCAGAAACAUAUGAAACCUUGGUUGAUGUAGUGUCAUGCCACCAAGAUGAUGUGGUAAAAAAAUUGGCAUGUGUGAUGGAAGUUUGGAAACACACCCCUCACAAACCGGAGCAGCUCACUAGAAGGCUCGUGGUUCCGAGAGGGAACAAUGCAUGUUUAAUGACGAAUGGGAGAUAGCUUCCUCUUACAGCCUUUAAAUUUUUUCUACGUGUAACAUGCACUAAUACAACUGUCAUCUGAAAAUUUGGAAAUUUUCAGGUGUCAUUUGACCUUUUGAAGACAUUUAAGUGAUUUUCUAGCCAUUUAAUGAUCGUAAUUCAAAUUUGAACUACAUCUACAUGCAACGGCUAACCAUAACGGUUUGAAAAAUCAUAUUUGUGUACUUGUGUGCGAGUCAAUUCCAUGUGCAGUAAAUUAGAAGGAAUUUUCAAACAUAUUUGUCUCACGACAUGAACACAUGCAUAUGUAUGCAUGGAGUCACAUGGCAUUUUAAUUCCAAAAAAACUAAAAAAAUAUCAGGAACACAUGAAACCAUGCUUGAUCUAAUGUCAUGCCACCAAGAUGAUGUGGUAAAAAAAUUGGCAUGGUUGACAAAAGUUUGGACACACACCCCUCACAAACCGGAGCAACUCACUAGAAGGCUUGUGGUUCCGAGAGAGAACAAUGCAUGUUUUAUGACGAACAGGAGAUAACUUCCUCUUACGGCCUUAUAAUUGUUUUCUAUGUUGUAGCGACCCGACCCGAAUGGAUCAAGUCUCCGUGCUUAAGUGUCAUCCCUGGAUCGGUAUGCUAACACACAGUACUCGAGGAUUUAUAACAGAGGUAAAUCACAUGAAUAAAGUAACGUAAAUACUAUCACCUCAAUCCAAAUAGCGGAAGUAACAAGGUUGUGGAUUCCCAUCAACACCAACGACAAACUUGAGUAUAGGAAUCAUAACCUUAACAUAUCACUUACUCGUCGUAAGAUCCUGCAACAUGAGACGUUGUAGUCACAAAGGGUCAGUACAUUGAAUGUACUGGCAAAUUCACAGCAUAGAGUAAUGAUGAAUAAAGGCUAUCACUACAUGCAUAUUUGGCUGGUGGAAAAGCUCUAUGGUUACAGUUUUGCGUAAAGCCAAUUUUUCCCUACUGCAAAGGAAUAAAAUUUAUUUAACUAUCAUGGUGGUUGUUAAACAUUGAGAAUGGUUGACAACAUUCUCAAUCCCAAUUAAGUAUCAUCAUCUUUAAACAAACCCAACAAUAUUAGUUAAAGUAACAUGAUGAGAUUCACAUGAUAAUCCAAGUACUAGAUACUCAAGAUGUCCAUAACCGGGGACACGGCUAAUCAUGAUUAGUUUAUACACUCUGCAGAGGUUGCGCACUUUUCCCCACAUGACUCAAUCUCCUCCGUUGGUUUUCUCGCACUACAUGGUGUUUGAGAAACGAAUGACCGAGACAUAGUCUUUCAGAAGCGCUAGCACCUUACGAUGGGUAGAUCGGCACACCUACUUUCCCCUACAUCUGCUAGUCUACCACUGUAAGAGUUCGCACGACUUAGUCAACUAUGCUAGAGCCCAUAAUAGCAUGUGGCUGCACACAGAAGUUUCUAGCAUGAAUAAUCUUAUGAUCCCUUUGAGCCUUGGUGGCGGUCCAUAAAAAACAGGCAAUCCUGGUCUACCCAGGUGCCUAGACAGGCAAUCCUAGAAUAACUAGGUACCUCAAUCCACCCAGAUGUGUAUUAAUGUUGCCACCUUAAAUAAACCAUUAAUUAACAAUCUCACAUCUGUCAUGGAAAAUCACUCACCCAAUCCACGUCUACUUGCAUAGCAUGGCAAAAUAAGAAACGUCGAAGUAACUCCCAAGGGUUUGGUAAUAAAACAGGUAAUAGGUACUACCUCAAUCUACUUCCCAAAACCCACAAUUUAAUUAGAUCCUAAUCAUGCAAUGUUUGAGGAUUGAUCUAAUGCAUAAAAACUGGGUAUGAAAAGGGAUAUGAUCAAAGUGUGAACUUGCCUGCAAUGUUGAUGAAGAUGAUUUGCACUCAAAACUCUUGAUAGUUCUAUUCGUCACACGCCGGUCAAUCUAUCGUGAGCAAGCAAUAAUAACCACACAUAAGCAAUCACUCAAAGGAUCGGAAAGAACGAAGAGUACGAUUCGGAAAACAUCAAAACCAAGCGAAUAACUCUUGCAACAUAAAACAAUUUCUAACAGUACCAAAAUUAUGUGAAUUUGGCCUUAUCAGAAAGUUUAGGUCAAGAGCUUUGAUUUGCAAAAAGAAUCAACUCAAACGGAGUUAAUAAACUCAAGUUAUGAUCAAACGAAGUUCAAAUACUAAACUGUUUGCAAUUCAAAUUUUAAACUUUCAAAAACAUGUUUAAGUUGUUUUACUGGAUAGAGGAGAUCAUAACGAGAAGUGGGCAUUGGUUUUGUUGGAUUUGAAUAAACGGGUGAAAAGAUGUGGUCGUUUGAAAAUCAGGGACUAAUCUGUAAAUAAAAUCAUCACAGAUAGGUCCCUGGCCGAAAUUAAAAGGAAAAAGAAAAAUACUAAACAACAGACAUUCGCUGCCGAACGCUAACUAACAAAUCUGUCCGCUCCAGAUCCUAAACGAGCGAACGUCCACUAAUAAAAAAAUGUUCGGGCAAAACCGAAGAAAACCAAAAUAAACCGGGGUGGCUCGGCGGUUUUACCGGCGGUUUUCAAUGGUUUUCUUCGUUGACGGCGGCGAGGUCAACGGCGAGGCGGGGCGGCAGCUCCGGUGAGUGAGGCAGCCCCGGCGACGGCAGUAGGCGGCGCGGGCGUCGGCGCAAGUAGCGGCGGCAGCGAGGUGCGGCUGUGGCGGUGGAGAACGGUGGCAUGCAGCAGCGGGCGGCGGCGGCGCAGAUCUCGUCGUCGUCAGCGCGGUGGUUUGCGGCGCGGGCGGUGGCGAGGAGAGAGAAGAGAGAGGGGUCCGGGGUGGCCCGGUAUUUAAGGAGGAGGGGUGGUCUCGGGAGGCGUGGGGAAGGGGCAAGGCGGCAGCGGGCGUGGCUCGGGCUCCGGCCGGAGUCCGGCUCGGCGACGGGGAUGAUGGCGGUGCGCGGAGCUGGGCCGGCCCAGUUCGGCGGUGGGAAAUAUAUAUAUUUUUUAAACAUUUUCCAAAAAACAAAAAACUAGAAUAAACGACCAAAAUAAAAUAUAAUAUAGGCAUAUAAUAUAUCGAAAUUUUCAUAAAAAGAUUUUCUACAAGAUGAACAUUUUAUAGCAUCAAAUAAAAUUCACACUAAUUUAAAUAAUUCAAACAGUGCUACUGCUCUAAUAAAAUCCAACAAAAACCAUUUUAAAAAUACCAAAAUUAAUUCAAAUUUAUUUCUCUCCAAUUUUCUGAUGUAGGGAAUCAUGUUACCCUAUUUUCCAUAUAUUUUAUUUUUGGAGAAAAAUAAUUUGAAUAAAACUCAAUAACUCCAAAUUGAAAAUAAAUUCAAAAGAACUUUGAAUUUAAUUCUUUGAAACUCCCAACUCAUAUUUCAUAUGUUUUGAAGAAGUCAUUUUAUCUUCGCUCGUGAAAAUCAUUUAAGUAAAUGGAAGAAGUCAUGUCACCUUCUCUCUAGGGUUUUGUGAUGAAAAGAAUUUGAAUUCACGGAGAUCACGAAUACAAAAUGAAAGUUUGGGAAAGUCCUUUUAUUCCCUCUCAUUUAACUUUCAAAAGUUUAGAAUUUCACUCAAUUUCACACAAUUAAUCAAACAAUCAGUCAUAACUAUCUAUUUGUAUAACAUUCCAAAAUUUAGAAUUUUGGGAUGUUACAAACCUACCACCCUUAAAAUGAAUCUCGUCCUCGAGAUUCGGAGAGGCUAGAAAGAAAUAGGUUAGGUUCAGGGUCUUUCUCAAAAUCCAUCGAACAUCACGCGAGGUCUGGGGUGCUCCCCCCUUAAAAGCAUGGUUACGGUCCCAUCAAAUUCGUAUACUCCAUUCUUAUUCUUGGCGGGGCCGGUCUUCUCAAAUUCUCGGGAAAACUCCUUCUCGGGCUCUUCCGAUAGUGGCAUAACCUUUUCCUCAAUACUUCUGUCCUUUCAUCUUGGUAAGGUUCCUCUAUGACUGGGUCUCCUUAUUAGACGGGUCUGGCGCCAAUACUAAACAACUAUUGAUAUCUCAUGGUGGUCAACAAUUUAUGGUUUCUCCUGCAGGAAAUGGGUCUGGGUUGAACCUCACCGUAUGACCUACGUUUGGCAACAGCUGCCUUGUACAAGGAAAGGUACUUAUACCAUUCUAAGGUUUAAACAAGGUUUAAUAUCGUCGUCUCUCUACUAUGGGUAAGUCACUCAGAUUUACCAUCCCACAUAGCAAAGUGAAUAAUAAGAGUAAGUCGGUAUGGUGAUCAAUCCAUCCCGCACUCAAAUCAUUACCUUGUAUAAGGUUUAGCGAAUCUCGCAUUCUAACACUCGGUCAUCCUCUCAAGCAUUGCAGAAUUUCUCUUGUCGACGAACUAAGUUCGGAUAAAUCCAUUGAUUCUUCAAGCCAAACAAACAUCUAUGGUUCCUUCACCACUCUCAGGUUUGCGUUGCUCCUAUAAAAUCGUCGGUUGAUAAAGGCUUAUCCUCUUCCAGGGUUUUUCCUUCAGCAAGAGUGUGCUUGCUUCUUGGCAGGUCCUGAGGCCUGUGGGUUAUGGGUCCACCUCAUCACUUGUAGUCCUUGAACUUAUCCUCGGGCUUCUGAUCAUUAUUCCAACUUCCAACUUCCUAGUAUUCUUAAAUCCAUCCAAUUGUACUGUCUUCCUUCCUUCUAUCGGCACCAAACUAGGACAUGAUUACUCAGACUCAUCAUGGAAUUUUCAUUGGUCCAUAUUUCCAACAUCAUACCUCCUUUAUAUCCAAUAGUAAUUCAUCUCUUCAUCCUCGUGGGAUAUCCCACAUACCGAGAUAAAAACAUAUACUUAUGAAGUCCAUACUCCACUUCGUGGAACAUCAUUAUCCUUUCCAGGGUCAAGCGUCCUUACAGGGGAAUAUUGGCCAUCUCUGCACAACACUUCUUCAACUGGGAAACGUGAAACACAUCAUGAACUCCUGACAGUGCUUCGGAUGACUCCAACUUGUUGGCCACUGCUCCCAUACGCUCCAAAACUCGAUAUGGUCCUACAAAUCUCGGGGCUAACUUUCCCUUAACUCCAAAUCGUUUAACUCCACGUAGAGGGGACACAUGAAGACAUGCUCUGUCUCCAAUUUCAUAAACUACCUCCUUGCGUUUUUGAUUCCGCAUAACUCUUCUGCCUGGACUGAGCUACCUUCAGUCUAUCUCGAAUCAACUUAACAUUCUCUUCUGACUCCUUGAUCACAUUUGGUCCAAACAACUGACGGUCUCCAAUUUCAUCCCACAUCGACGGUGUCUGGCUCCUUCUCCCAUACAAAGCUUCAAAAGGGGCCAUCUUCAAAUUGGCUUGGUAGCUGUUAUUGAAUGAGAACUCCGCGUAAGGUAGAUUAUCAUCCCUACUAGAUCCAUAAUCUAGCGCACACGCUCUCAACAUGUCCUCUAGAAUCUGUUUGACUCUCUCAAUUUAUCCAUCUGUCUGCGGAUGAAAGGCUGUACUGAACUCUAGCCUAGUACCCAAAGUGUGGCUCAGCUGAUUCCAAAACUUUGAGGUAAACCGUGUUCCUCUAUAUGAUACGAUGGUCCUCGGAACUCCAUGCAGACAUACGAUCCUGGUCAAAUAUAUCUUGGCCAACUUUGCACUUGUAUAGGUGGUUUUCACUAGGAUAAAGUGAGCCACUUUGGUCAAGCGAAUCAACUACUAACCAGAUAGAAUCAUGUCCCGUUCGGGUUCUAGGAAAUCCUGUAAUCAAAUCCAUGCCAAGCUUAUCCCCACUUCCAUUCGGGUCUCAGCAAAGGCUGUAGUAAUCCUGCUGGCUUCUGAUGCUCUGCUUUUACUCUCUCUGGCAUACAUCACUUACGACUACAUACUCCGCAAUAUCCUUCUUCAUACUAGUCCACCAGAAACACUCCUUCAAAUACAAAUACAUCUUGGUGUUUCCAGGGCGAAUCGAGUAUGGUGAGUCAUGAGCCUCCUGAAGUAUUUACUUCCUGAUCUUUGCAUUAUUGGGAACAUAUACACGGUCCUCGAACCAUAAGAUGUCGUGCUCAUCCUUUAUGAAAACCUUUGGCCUUUCCUUUGCUCAUCCUCUAUUUUACCUCAGCAAUCUCUUUGUCAUCCUUCUGAGCUUCACGGAUCUUUCCCAACGAUGUAGACUGAACUUCCAUUGCUGCAACAAAACCUUUGGGAACAAUCUCCAACCGAAGUUUCCUGAAAUCCUCGGCUAACUUCCUUUGGUAAUCCCCCGCUUAUGAGGGUAUUCAUCCUUGUUUUAUUUAUGGUUGGGUACUAUUUCUCCACAAAGCUUGUAUGCACAAGGUUUCUUCAUAUCCUUUCCAUAAGGCUUAAAUUCCUGGGACACAAACCGAGACUUUGGCAAAGUCAACUUAAAUUCCUUCCAAGCGAUUACUCCUUGCCAUCCAUUGAUGGUUUGGUACAUCCUCCACCAGGUAGCAGCACCUCUUUCAAAGAAGGGAAGAGCAUGCUGGGCCAUAUCCUUUCUGACUAUAGGGUUAUUCUUUAUGUGAUCCUCCAUGUUCUGAAUCCAUUGGUCUAUCUCCAAUUGACUCAUUGGUCCAGACAAUACAAGCUCAUCUCCAUUCAUCCUCUAUGGGGUCCAUGGGUUUUGGGGUGGGAUAAGAGACAUAGAGAGGGAUGCACACAGUACAAACAAUAGUUUUGAAAAGACAGGUUUUAUUGUGGCUGUUGGAAAAACAUCAAACAAAUGACAGCUCACAAACGUCGCAUCUAACGUAGGUACAACAGGGUUUGGUCUUCUAGUGGUCAAUAAAUUUUCAACGUCACCAAACUCUUCAAGUCUUGUUCAUGUCUCUGAUAGCUUCUUCUGAUCAUGCUUAUCCUUCUCAAGGUCCUAUGCCAGAUCUCUGUUGACGCGAAGUAUUUAGUGACAUCCUUUAAUAUUUAGUAAUUGCGUUCCAAACUUUUGGGUUCCAACAUCCUUGGCAUGAACCAUGCCCUACUGUCCUUCAGUUCCUGACAGAUCUCCGGUAUCUCGAGGUCUUACUCCUCCAGCUUGGCUACUUUCAGCUUCAAGGUUCCGAGUUCUUCACAAAAUGCUCCCUUAUCAAAUACAGCUUUCUGAAGGUCCAUCUUAAACUUCCUGGUGUAAUACUCCAGAUCCUGGUGAUACACCGACUAAGGUUAAAAGUGCAUCCUUUGCCGACAGAUGCUCCAUCAGCCUUCUACCAUCCAAUCCUUCCAUGCAUCUACAUGCUUAACUCAGCCCGGUGAUAAUAGUAUAAGCGGGCAAUAACAUCAUAGAUAACCGUGUUUAUGCCCAUGUUAUUGCCAUGAGCUAUCAUUCCAUAAUUGAUAUCUCCUGCCUUGGUGCUUUCUUGACAAAACCUUUGAGUUCUAAUGCUCCAUGUUCCGGUCUUUCUCCAACACACCUUGAUCUCGGGUAUUGACAGCUUCCAUAGUUUUCCAAGUUCCAUAAGGGGUGCCUUCCUUGGUCAUACCAAAUCUAGAAAUUCUUCAUAUUCUCCUAGUCUUCGAAGUCUUUAUCCGUCGUAGUUUCCAUCAUCAUAAUGCUCGGUAAAAUCCUCUUCAUUCCGAAGUGGUCUUAGUUGUCUGAUAUCUGGUCCUUCUUGGAGUGGUCUCAUCAGUCAGAUCUUCGAGUGGUCAAAAGGGGAAAGGGGUAUAGUCACACUAAAAGGAAAUAUUUGAAUAAGCCCAGAAGAGAAGAGAGGUAAGAGAUCUUUUGAAAAAAAAAGUAGAGAAAAUCUUUCCUAUGGGCUUGCCAGUUUUCUAGGGUCACGUCCUACAGUCAACAUGUGCUCUGAUACCAUCUUGUAGCGACCCGACCCGAAUGGAUCAAGUCUCUGUGCUUAAGUGUCAUCCCUGGAUCGGUAUGCUGACACACACAAUACUCGAGGAUUUAUAACAGAGGUAAAUCACAUGUAUAAAGUAACGUAAAUACUAUUACCUCAAUCCAAAUAGCGGAAGUAACAAGGUUGUGGAUUCCCAUCAACACCAACGACAAAGUUGAGUAUAGGAAUCGUAACCCUAAGGUAUCACUUACUCGUCAAGAUCCUGCAACAUGAGACGUUGCAGCCACAAAGGGUCAGUACAUUGAAUGUACUGGCAAAUUCACACCAUAGAGUAAUAAUGAAUAAAGGCUAUCACUACAUGCAUAUUUGGCUGGUGGAAAAGCUCUAUGGUUACAGUUUUGCGUAAAGCCAAUUUUUCCCUACUGCAAAGGAAUAAAUUUUAUUUAACUAUCAUGGUGGUUGUUAAACAUUGAGAAUGGUUGACAGCAUUCUCAAUCCCAAUUAAGUAUCAUCAUCUUUAAACAAACCCAAUAAUAUUAGUUAAAGUAACAUGAUGAGAUUCACAUGAUAAUCCAAGUACUAGAUACUCAAGAUGUCCAUAACCGGGGACACGACUAAUCAUGAUUAGUUUAUACACUCUGCAGAGGUUGCGCACUUUUCCCCACAUGACUCGAUCUCCUCCGUUGGUUUUCUCGCAAUACAUGGUGUUUGAGAAAUGAAUGACCGAGACAUAGUCUUUCAGAAGCGCUAGCACCUUACGAUGGGUAGACCGGUACACCUACUUUCCCCUACAUCUGCUAGUCUACCAUUGUAAGAGUUCGCACGACUUAGUCAACUAUGCUAGAGCCCAUAAUAGCAUGUGGCUGCACACGGAAGUUUCUAGCAUGAAUAAUCUUAUGAUCCCUUUGAGCCUGGGUGGCGGUCCAUAAAAAAAUAGGCAAUCCUGGUCUACCCAGGUGCCUAGACAGGCAAUCCUGGAAUAACCAGGUAUCUCAAUCCACCCAGAUGUGUAUUAAUGCUGCCACCUUAAAUAAACCAUUAAUUAACAAUCUCACAUCUGUCAUGGAAAAUCACUCACCCAAUCCAUGUCUACUUGCAUAGCAUGGCAAAAUAAGCAAACGUAGAAGUAACUCCCAAGGGUUUGGUAAUAAAACAGGUAAUAGGUACUACCUCAAUCUACUUCCCAAAACCCACAAUUUAAUUAGAUCCUAAUCAUGCAAUGUUUGAGGAUUGAUCUAAUGCAUAAAAACUGGAUAUGAAAAGGGAUAUGAUCAAAGUGUGAACUUGCCUGCAAUGUUGAUGAAGAUGAUUUGCACUCAAAACUCUUGAUAGUUCUAUUCGUCACACUCCGGUCAAUCUAUCGUGAGCAAGCAAUAAUAACCACACAUAAGCAAUCACUCAAAGGAUCGGAAAGAACGAAGAGUACGAUUUGGAAAACAUCAAAACCAAGCGAAUAACUCUUGCAACAUAAAACAAUUACUAACAGUACCAAAAUUAUGUGAAUUUUGCCUUAUCAGAAAGUUUAGAUCAAGAGCUUUGAUUUGCAAAAAGAAUUAACUCAAACGGAGUUAAUAAACUCAAGUUAUGAUCAAAUAAAGUUCAAAUACUAAACUGUUUGCAAUUCAAAAUUUAAACUAUCAAAAACAUGUUUAAGUUGUUUUACUGGAUAGAGGAGAUCAUAACGAAGAAGUGGGCAUUGGUUUUGUUGGAUUUGGAUAAACGGGUGAAAAGAUGUGCUCGUUUGAAAAUCAGGGACUAAUCUGUAAAUAAAAUCAUCACAGAUAGGUCCCUGGCCGAAAUUAAAAGGAAAAAGAAAAAUACUAAACAACAGACGUUCGCUGCCGAACGCUAACUAACGAAUCUGUCCGCUCCAGAUCCUAAACGAGCGAACGUCCACUAAUAAAAAAAUGUUCGGGCAAAAUCGAAGAAAACCAAAGUAAACCGGGGUGGCUCGGCGGUUUUACCGGCGGUUUUCAAUGGUUUUCUUCGUUGAUGGCGGCCAGGUCAACGGCGAGGUGGGGCGGCAGCUCCGGUGAGCGAGGUAGCCCCGGCGAUGGUAGUAGGCGGCGCGGGCGUCGGUGCAAGCAGCGACGGUAGUGAGGCGCGCCUGUGGCGGUGGAGAGCGGUGGCAUGCAGCAGCGGGCGGCGGCGGCACAGAUCUCGUUGUCGGCGGCGCGGUAGUUUGCGGAGCAGGUGGCGGCGAGGAGAGAGAAGAGAGAGGGGGCCGGGGUGGCCCGGUAUUUAAGGAGGAGGGGUGGCCUCGGGAGGCGUGGGGAAGGGGCAAGGCGGCAGCGGGCGCGGCUCGGGCUCCGGCCGGAGUUCGGCUCAGCGACGGGGAUGAUGGCGGUGCGCGGAGCUGGGCCUCGGCCUAGCAGGAGCUGGGCCGGCCCAGGUCGGCGGUGGGAAAAAUAUUUUUUUUAAAGAUUUUCCAGAAAACAAAAAAUAGAAUGAACCACCAAAAUAAAAUAUAAUAUAGGCAUAUAAUAUAUCGAAAUUUUCAGAAAAAGAUUUUCUACAAGAUGCACAUUUUUAUAGAAUGAAAUAAAAUUCACACUAAUUUAAAUAAUUCAAACAGUGCUACUGCUCUAAUAAAAGCCAACAAAAACCAUUUUAAAAAUACCAAAAUUAAUUCAAAUUUAUUUCUCUCCAAUUUUCUGAUGUAGGGAAUCAUGUUACCCUAUUUUCCAUAUAUUUUAUUUUUGGAGACAAAUAAUUUGAAUGAAACUCAAUAACUCCAAAUUGAAAAUAAAUUCAAAAGAACUUUGAAUUUAAUUCUUUGAAACUCCCAACUCAUAUUUCAUAUGUUUUGAAGAAGUCAUUUUAUCUUCGCUCGUGAAAAUCAUUGAGUUGCAUAAAGUUCCAGAAUAAAUAUUUUCCAAAUGAAAUUCAUAUAUUUUCAACACCCCUUGUCAUUUAAAUAAAUGGAAGAAGUCAUGUCAUCUUCUCUCCAGGGUUUUGUGGUGAAAAGAAUUUGAAUUCACGGAGAUCACGAAUGCAAAAUGAAAGUUUGGGAAAGUCAUUUUAUUCCCUCUCAUUUAACUUUCAAAAGUUUCGAAUUUCACUCAAUUUCACACAAUCAAUCAAACAAUCAGUCAUAACUAUCUAUUUGUAUAACAUUCCAAAAUUUAGAAUUUUGGGAUGUUACAUAUGUUUAACGUGCACUACUACAACUGUAAUGUGAAAAUUAGGAAAAUUCUCUAGGUCAUUUGACCUUUUAAAGACAUUUAAGUGACUUUUCUAGUCAUUUAAUGACCGUAAUUCAAAUUUAAACUACAUCUACAUGCAACGGCUAACCAUAUCAGUUUAAAAAAAAUCAUAUUUGUGUAGUGGUGUGCGAGUUAAUUCCAUGUGCAGUAAAUUAGAAGGAAUUUUCAAAUAUAUUGGUCUCACGACAUGGACACAUGCAUAUGUAUGCAUGGAGUGCCAUGGCAUUUUAAUUCCAAAAAAUAAAAAAAUGAUCAGAAAACAUGAAACCUUGCUUGAUGUAAUGUCAUGCCACCAAGAUGAUGUGGUAAAAAAAUUGGCAUGUUUGACGAAUGUUUGGACACACACCCCUCACAAACCGGAGCAAUUCACUAGAAGGCUCGUAGUUUCGAGAGGGAACAAUGCAUGUUUGAUGAUGAACUGGAGAUAGCUUCCUCUUACUGCCUUCAAAUUGUUUCUACGUUUAACGUGCACUACUACAAUUGUACUGUGAAAAUUUGGAAAAUUCUAGCGGUCAUUUGACCUUUUAAAGACAUUUAAGUGAUUUUCUAGCCAUUUAAUGACCGUAAUUCAAAUUUGAACUACAUCUACAUGCAACGGCUAACCAUAACAGUUUGAAAAAAAAUCAUAUUUAUGUACUUGUGUGCGAGUUAAUUCCAUGUGCAGUAAAAUAGAAGGAAUUUCCAAACAUAUUGGUCUCACGGAAUGGGCACAUGCAUGGAGUGCCAUGUCAUUUUAAUUCUGAAAAAAUAAAAAAUGAGCAGAAAAACAUGAAACCUUGCUUGAUGUAAUGUCAUGCCACCAAGAAGAUGUGGUAAAAAAUUGGCCUGUUUGAUGAAAGUUUGGACACCCCCCUCACAAACCGGAGCAACUCACUAGAAGGUUCAUGGUUCUGAGAGGGUACAAUGCAUGUUUGAUGAUGAACGGGAGAUAGCUUCCUCUUACGGCCUUCAAUUUUUUCUAUGUUUAACAUGCACUAAUACAACUGCCAUGUGAAAAUUUGGAAAAUUUCAGGGGUCAUUUGACCUUUUAAAGACCUGUAAGUAAUUUUCUAGCCAUUUAAUGACCGCAAUUCAAGUUUGAACUACAUCUACAUGCAACGGCUAACCAUAACGGUUUGAAAAAUCAUAUUUUUGUAUACUUGUGUGCGAGUUAAAAAUCACCAAACGAUGUAAAUAUCUUGUGUUCAAAAAAGAACAUGUAAAGAUCUAGCAAGACAACCGGCCCCCACAUGAUUGGCACUCUAUCUCGCGGCUCAAGGUUUGGUAGGUGAGUGGCGGGGAUCAUUAAGUAGACACGGUUCUAUAUUGGAAACCAUCAGCUAUUAUGUUCACACAUGGAUGUUGCUGUGGGAAUCGUGUGUAACUCAAACUACAGUACUCGUAAAUUCCAGCGACCGGUGUGUGUACUGUUCCCCUCGAUCUAGAUUCUGGCUUCCAAUAAAUACUACCAUGCUCACGUCGUCCUACCUGCAUUCUCAUCUACAUCCUUCCCUCGCUCGCCCUCUCUCUCUCUCUCUCUCUCUCUCUCUCUCUCUCAAAUCUCUGCCAUGGCACCGCCGAUCUUCCCACGCGCCGACGAGGAGUCGCCGCCCGCGAGGAUGCUCACUCGAAUAGCUGCGACGAGGACCCCUAUGCGCCACCGGACGAGGUUGCGCCGGAUCCCCCAACUUUGGAUUGGUUUUGGGGCCAGUACAAUCUUUGUUUAUGGAAGUCGCUGCCGCCGGCUGAGAAAGCCAGGCAAGUGGCGUUCAAGAAGGAGAUGGCCGAUAAGGAAUCCAGGUACCAGGCGGCCUGUGAAGCCCGUGAUGCGCUUGGAGAAAGGAGGCGGCGGAGAUUUGGGGGCGGGCGCGUCGUCGUGCGGAGGAGGUGUACGAAGAUGGGUACUUCGCGAGGAAGGUCAAAGGAGCUGGGCGCCUCGUUGCUUUGUGGAGGUGGGCCGAUAAGCUCGAGUGUGCCACCGACGAGGAGCUCCGGUGGGCGCCCAAUGAAAUGGCAAGAUCGUUCGUGCUCAUCCACUAGCAAGAGGCAGAUCGGUACAUCAAGCGCUGCGAGGCGGAAGAGGCGGAGUACUGCCUCCGCACUAGGAAUACGCCGCACACCAGGGAGCUGCUGGCGAGGGGCUGCCGGAAUACUGACCCUAACUAAUGAACAGUUAAUAUAUAUAUUAUGAACUCCAUUUUCUAUCUGUUUUUGUAUACUAAUUUGAAUCUAGCUAUUAUCAUCCACAUAUACAGAAUGGAAAGCGUAUAUACACACAUUGAAAUAGAACAUAUAAGAAUGGAAAACAGAGUACACCCAUUGAAAUAGAGGAAUAAAUAGAGCAAUAUUAUGAUUGCUGUGAAUAGAUAGCUAUCCACGUCGAAAUGAGUCAACAAAAUAAAAGCGUCCAUGAGACCAUGACCAGCAGCCCUUGCCUACGGUAUCUCUUGGCUCUGCCUAAACUCAUGCAGGAGUUCGUCCAAGCGGUUGACACGCUUGCGGUACAUCUGGAGCGCGAUUUCGAGCUCCAAGUUGGCUAUUUCAUCGGAUAUCACCAGCUCGAGGAUGCGACGGCCAUGUUCCUCUACUGCGUCAGGUGGACACCUGGGCCAAGGAGGCGGUCGAGCCUAUCGACCAGCGCGUUGGCAUCGAGCGGGCCGCGGACAAGGCGAACAGCGUGACCCAUGUGAACGGCGCGGUAUGUGUCCGGUGCAAGUACGACGCGGCCGGCCUCUGGUGCAAGUACGCCAUAGUGGGCCUCUGCCCACUCCUGGCAAGGAAUGGGGGUACUGAUGGGACAUGUACCUAGCUGCGACGCCGUGUCAACAACAGGCAAGCGCCGAUGGAUCCGCUCUUGCUAUGCGGCGCGCCGCGCCUCUCGCUCUGCGGCGCUCCAACGGUCUCACCAUGCGGCGACCUGCAGCCUAUCGUCGCGGACGCGCCUAGCUUGCUCUGCGGCGCACCAUCGAUCAUGUUGUGCGGCGAGCUGCAGCCUGUCGGCGCUGACAUGCCUAUCUUGACCCGCGACGCUCAAGCGCCAUGCGCCAAAGGUCUGCUCAACCCUGGUGAUGACGCGCAUCACGAUGUCGUCCAUCGCGUUGCCGGGGAGUGCCUUGGCCUCGAUGGGCCGUUGCGCCUGCUCAUUUUCCUCGUCAACGAGGUUGAUGGCAGAGGCUGCGCUUUGGUGGGUUGGCAUGCUUGGAAAAGGUGGAUGUGCUAUAGGCUGCGCUUGUCGCCUCCAUGUGUCGUGCGCCGCCUAGGUUCAUGCGCAAUAUCGCUGGGUGGUGGGAAACAUGUGAGGAAAUGGCGGGAUACAGUGGCGUGUUCAUAAAACACCAUCAAAUUAAUGGAAACUUAGCAUAGAAGGAACAUCGAGCUAGCACAAGAAGUAGAUGAUGAUCAGAUGAACAUAGACCACACUAGGGAACCCGCCGGUGAUUAAUUCAUCAAUCACAAACGGUUGAAUACUAGCAAGCGUUUGCCCACAACACACAUGACUUAUUCCACCACAAACAGGUCGGAUGGAUCAAUUGUAUGCAAUGUAUCGCACAUUGUCAAAGGUAAUGCGGUAGACCUUCUUUAAUAUGUGUUAAAAAAUAAAAUUGAAAAUAAAAAACAAGGACCUCGAGGUUAAAUCAACUCAUGGGAUGGAUCAUUCAGGUCAAAGGUAAUUUAAUUUGACCGGGAUGACCCAUCCCAUCAGUUAAUUUAACAUCAAGACAACUUGCCAUCCAGUCACCGAUCUGAUGGCUGCACCAGCCUGAGCACACUUAACUUGAGAGUUCUCUUAGAUGAGCUACUGGUGGAGCAACUAGUCCUUGCUGAUAUAGGAUGCCUCUUCGCAUCCUUAUGGCCAAUAGAUGUUGUGUAGACAUGGCAUAUCACAUACGUCUUAUUAGAAGCAAUCAUAUGUGUUAUUAUCGGGCUUCGCACACAUUUCUGAUUAUAGACCUGUUUGCCGCGUAUCACGCACAUCUUGAUAUAUUGAACCGUUUCUGUUCUCUUGUACCAACGCAAACAGUUCAUCCGAGUGAAUCGCAUGCUAUAUAUCACACACACCUUGAUCUGGUUUACCAUUUCUUUUGUGUUGCCUAAUCACAAACAGUUCAUCUGAGUGAACCGUAAGCCGUAUAUCACACAUGCCUUCAUCUGGCUGCCCAUUUCUUUUGUUCUGCCACAUCGCAAAUAGUUAAUUGAAUUGAACCGUAUGCCCAGCAUCGCACACACAACUAAAAUUUGAACCGUGUUUGAUGCAUCCUCCAUCGCAAAUGUUUUGCAACUUUUUUGACAGUUUUUUACACCAACGUUUGCGAUUAAUGCAUCGCACAUAGUUUUGUCGAAGGGUCUUUGAUCGUAGUGUCGCGUUAGCAGCAACAUGUAGUAGUGCAUGUUAUAUAAUGUGUGUGUGGGAGAAGUUGUAAAACUGGAUGUAACACGUUGCCUGUUGAGGCCGACGGUUCGCUGUUGUAUUGACGAGGGAAAACCCCCACAUGAUGUAUAAAAAGUCUUGAUACAACUUGGCACUCAAGGAAGGAAAGUAGAGAUAGAGUACAUGAAGGAUUCAUCUAGUGUACAAAGAGAAUACAAGAGAAAACUCCUAACAACUCUAACAACCUAUCCUCAUAGUACACAUGAAUAUAUCCUUUAACACCCUCCCUUAAUCACAAUGGAACCAAGUUGAGGUUAGCUUGAAAGAUUCAGAACUCCUUGUAGGUAAUGCUUUGGUGAAGCCAUCUGCAAUCUGAUCUCUAGAGUGAACAAAUCUUAUUUCCAGUUGUUCAUUAGCAACCCUUUCUUGAACAAAGUGGAAAUCUAUCUCAAUAUGUUUAGUCCGAGCAUGAAACACAUGAUUAACAUAAAGGUAUGUAGCACCAAGGUUAUCACACCAUAAACAUGGAUUAUGCCCACGACUUACUCCAAGUUCCUUGAGCAUGUACUAAACCCAAAUAAUUUCUUUUGUAGCAUUUGCUAGGGCCUUGUACUCUACUUCUGUACUAGACCUUGAAACUGUAGCAUGUUUCAUUGCAUACCAUGAUAUUAAAUUUGGUCCAUAAAACACUUCAAAACCACCUGUUGAACACCUAUCAUCAAGAUAGCCUGCCCAGUCAGAGUUAUAAAAAGCACUAACAAGAGUGGAUGAUGACUUGCUGAAUGUCAGACCAAUGCUUGGACCAUUUUUAAUAUAUCUCAGUAUACGCUUUGCAGCUAUCCCGUGUGCUGUGGUAGGUGCAUGAAGAAACUGACAUACUUUAUUAACAACAAAUGAAAUAUCAUGGCUAGUAAGAGUCAAGUACGGAAGUGCACCAACUAUACUUCUAUAUCUAGUGGCAUCCUCUUGAUUCAAGAGCUCCCCUUCUGUAAGAGGCAUUUUUUUCUGUGUUGGACAAAGGUGUUGGGGGAUGGUUUACAAUCCUGCAUGCCAACUCUUUGCAGAAGGUCAGAUGCAUAUUUCUCUUGAGAGAGAUGAAGACCCUCCCUAGUUCUUUUUACUUCGAUGCCAAGGAAAAAAAUUCAAGUCCCCUAGAUCCUUAAGAGCAAACUCAGAAUUUAUGUCCUUAAGCAACCCUAUCAUUGCCUGAUCAGAAUAGCUUCUAAAAAUGAUGUCAUCAACAUGCAUAAGCACAAAUAUGGAGGUAUAUGACUUAUUAUAGAUAAAUAAUGACGUGUUAGACUUGGAGGGAGCAAAACCAAGUUUCUGUAAUUUGAAGCUCAAAUGAGAAUAUCAUGCCUGGGAGCUUGCUUUAGACCAUAAAUAACUUUCUCAAGUCUACACACAAGAAAAGGAGCAUUCUUGUCUUGAAAAUCAGGUGGUUGUUUCAUGUAUACUUCCUCUUCCAAAACAUCAUGAAGAAACACAUUUUGCACAUCUAGUUUUCAAAGACUCCAUCCCCUAGAUACGACAAUGGACAAGACAAGACGAGCAGUGGCAGCUUUGACAACCGGACUAAAGGUAUCCUCAUAAUUAAUACCAUACCUUUGUUUAAAACCUUUUGCAACAAGUAUGGCCUUAUAAUGAUCAAUAGUUUCACCGGGCUUUCUCUUAAUUCUGUAGACCCACUUGGAAUCAAUUAGAUUUUUACCUCUCUGUGGAGACACCAAAUGCCAAGUUUUAUUUUUUUGAAGUGCAAGAUAUUCUGCCUCCAUAGCCUUUUUCCACCAUGUAUCACCAAGUGCUUCUUCAAGAUUAGUUGGUUCUCCCGUGGAACAAGCUAAGCCUUAUUUUGCAAUAUGCUUAUAAUUAACAGGUUGAAUUACUCCCUUUUGUAAUCGCGUACAAGCUGGUACAUGCGGAGAAGUAGAAACAUGUGGCACAGAAGAUCCUGGCGCUUGCUGUGAGGAUCCUGGAACCUGCGCCGAAGAAGCAACAACACUUGGUGCACUGGAUCCAGAGACAUGUGAUGAUUCCAAAUUAUGUGAUUAAUUUUUUAUUAUUUUUGUGCCUACUCCGUAGGCUUUGUGGAAUUUUACCGCAUUCACAUGCUUCUUUUUGACGUUUUCCUCAGAUAAAGCUUUUUGGACCAAAUAUCAUUAUUUUGAAGAAAUCUCAUAAAAUGGUAGUGGAAUAACGCAAUUAAGGUGAUAAUCACUUACCAUAAGAGAGAGAAGCAAAAUGGACAAAGAGGCAGCUGCCGUAGGAAGUCUAGAGAAAAAGACGGCGUUCCAUACGACUACGCGCACCUCGUAUGGAGUGCCAUCGCCACUGUUGGAUCGACUAUAUUCGCCCCGUGAAUACGGAUCGUGGAUUAGAUGCCCAGAGACACCGCAAACUCGUUGAGAAACAGGAACCCUAGCUGCCGGAGCAAUUCAGAGGAAGGAACCAGCAAGAGUAGGCCGCCGCCAGAGCAAUUCAGAGGAAGGAACCGACAAGAGUAGGCCACCACCGUCAUCAUCCGCAUCAAGAAGGCUCCAACAUCACCCCCACCAUCAUUGUCAUCAUCAUCAUCUACCUUCUACCUUAUUGUAAUAUCAAGAACCCUAGCAGAAUAACUUAUGUAUUACAUGUGCGACUCAUUCAUGAUUUCCAUCAUUGGUAGUGUGAUGUUUGUUGCCUUCAUAUGUGAGUAGUUCCUUCAGUUCUUGGGGACAUGGAUGAACCCUAGUGAGUGAUAGAUAGAUUGAUAUUAGGAUUUCAUAUCCUCUUUGCAUGUUUGUUUUGAUGAUCUUCUUGAUGUUGGGUGAAGUUGACCAUCGAACGUAUGCCAAUUUUGGAUGGAAGGUUAUUACUGUUGGUGAACCGCAUGGUUGGCGAGGUGGGUGAGUGUCAGACCCCAUUUCCUUUCAUAGAGGAUUGUUGCAACAGGGGUAAAACAGUGACCACCUUGGCCAUGCUUAGGGGGAUAUCUUUCCCCUUAAUUACCAUUUGAUAACCGGAGUGGAAAAAACGGUAGUGGCGUAUGUGAUAUGGAGCUUCCGCGUGUAUAUGCACGUAUCUAAACCGACUCUGCCCACAAACAGAAACAUUCAAAGUCGAUUAGGAAUCCAAAGUAGCAUUGUGUUUAGGCACCGCUAUAGAUGCACACUAGUGGGGAUUUCGGACUCCCUGGGAACACCUUAAUAUUAUCCGUCUCCAGCUCACCCAAUUAUUAUUCCAGUUAUUUUCCUUUACUUAUUUACCUUUGCAACUUCAACAUUAUCCUUUUAUCACGUUAGUACAAGUUUGGAGAACUAACAACGUGCAAACACUCUAUUCACAUCAUUUGAGAGAUGAAAAGAUUAAUUCACGUGCUCCCUGUGGGAUCGAUACUCUUACUUUGAAAAUGCUACAAAUAAACCCCGUGCACUUGCAGGACAUCAACAGCCGCGUCAAGUUGGGCCCGCCAUUGCGGAUCUUCUGUGGCAUUUUCCUGCGUUGAUGACGUACGAAGCGGCGUAGACAAUCCUGGCCCGCAAUCAUGUGCCAAUGAUAUGUCUCCAACGUAUCUAUAAUUUUUGAUUGUUCCAUGCUAUUAUAUUAUUGAUUUUGGAUGUUUUAUAUGCAUUAAUAUGCUAUUUUAUAUUAUUUAUGGACUAACUUAUUAACUUAGAGCACAGUGCCAGUUUCUAUUUUCUCCUUGUUUUUGAGUUUUACAGAAAAGGAUAUCAAACGGAGUCUAAAUGGAAUAAAACUUCCGUGACGAUUUUUCUUGGACCAGAAGACACCCAAAAGAUUUGGGGAGAGGGCCAGAAGAGUCCUGAGGACUCCAGAAGCCCUCAGGGCGCUCCCCCUGGCUUGUGGGUCCCUCGGGAGUCCACCGACCUCCCUCUUAGCUCUAUAAAUCCCAAAAUAUUCCCAAACCACCAGAAGCGUCCACCAAAAUACUUUUCUGCCGUCGUUACCUUCUGUUCCCGUGAGAUCCCAUCUUGGGGCUUUUUCCGGCACCCUGCUGGAGGGGGAUUCGAUCAUGAGGGCUUCUACAUCAACCCUAUUGCCCUUCCAAUGAAGCGUGAGUAGUUUACCACAGACCUACGAGUAGCUAGUAGCUAGAUGGCUUCUUCUGUCUCGCUUAUCUUCAAUACAAUGUUCUCCUUGAUGUUCUUGGAGUUCUAUUCGAUGCAAUAUUCUUUUGCGGUGUGUUUGUCAAGAUCCGAUGAAUUAUGGAUUUAUGGCCAGAUUAUCUAUGAAUAUUAUUUGAGUAUCUUCUAAAUUCUUAUAUGCAUUAUUUGAUAUCUUUGUAUUUCUCUUUGAAUUAUCGAUUUGGUUUGGAUAACUAGAUUGGUUCUUCUUGCAAUGGGAGAGAUGCUUAGUUUUGGGUUCAAUCUUGCGGUGUCCUCACCCAGUGACAAAGUAGGGGUAGCGAGGCACGUAUUGUAUUGUAUUGUUUCCAUCAAGGAUAAAAGGAUGGGAUUUCCAUCAUAUUUCUUGAGUUUAUCCCUCUACAUCAUGUCAUCUUACUUAAGGCAUUACUCCGUUCUUAUGAACUUAAUACUCUAGAUGAUGCUGGAUAGCAGUCAAUGUGUGGAGUAAUAGUAGUAGAUGCAGGCAGGAGUCGGUCUACUUGACACGGACGUGAUGCCUAUAUUCAUAAUCAUUGCCUUGGAUAUCGUUAUAACUUUGCGUUUUUCUAUCAAUUGCUCAACAGUAAUUUGUUCACCCACCGUAUGCUUUCUUCAAGAGAGAAGCCUCUAGUGAAACCUAUGUCCCCCGGGUCUAUUUUCCAUCAUAUAUUUUCAGAUCUAUAAACCAAAACCCAAAAAUACCUUGCUAAAAUUUAUUUACUUUUAUUUUAUUUUAGAUUUUAGUAAUCUUUUAUAUCUAUCUCUAUCAGAUCUCAUCCUUGCAAGUGACCGUGAAGGGAUUGACAACCCCUUUAUCAUGUUGGGUGCAAGUAUUUGCUUGUUUGUGCAUGUGCAUAGAUUGGAGACUUUCUUGUAGCUCCUACUGGAUUUAUACCUUGGUUCUCAAACUAAGGGAAAUACUUAUAUCUACUUUGUUGCAUCACCCUUUCCUCUUCAAGGGAGAAACUGACGCAAGCUCAAGAAGUAGUAGGAAGAAUUUCUGGCGCCAUUGCCGAGGAGGUUCUACAUCAAGCCUACCAAGUACCCACCAUAAACUCUCAUCUCUUGGAUUACAUUAUUUGCUAGUUGCCUCUCAUUUUCAUCUCCCUCACUUCUAACACGUUUUCAUAAAAGCACAAAGAUAUUUGCCUUUUUAUUCGCCCUUAUUCAGUUCGUCUUUUCGUUCACUUUUUUGGUGCUCGUGUGUUAGAUUGCUUGCUUUGUCAUGAUGUCUCAAGAAAAUACCAAGUUGUGUGACUUUUCCAACACUAAUAAUAAUGAUUUUAUUAGUACUCCGAUUGCUCCCGCCACUAGUGUGGAAUCUUAUGAAAUUAAUGCCGCUUUGUUGAAUCUUGUUAUGAUUGAUGAUUUGGCUAGGAAUGUUGAUAGGAUUUCUCUUGAGAUUGAUUCUUUAAAGAUUAGAUCUAUGCCACCUAAGAUUGAUAUUAAUGAAUCCCUAAAAGCUAUUAAAAUUUCUUUGGAUGAAUGUAAAUAAAGAACCAUUAGGAUGCAUGCUAAAAGAGAUUGGUUUGUAAAAGUGUGUUCUUCUAGUUUUUGCAAAAAUAAUGAUAAAGAUCUUAAAGUGAUUGGUGUGACUCCUAUUGAAUCUUUGUUUUCCAAUAUAAAUCUUGAUAAAUGUGGGACUGGAGAUGAGUAAACUUUAGCUAGAAGGCGUCCCAAAAAUUUGGAGUUUGAAGAUCUUAAUGAAAAAAAUGAUAAAACUAGGAUAGGAGCGGUCAAAACUUUAAGUAGCGAUGAACCCACUCUUUUGGAUUUUAAGAAUUUUAAUUAUGAUAAUUGUUCUUUGAUAGAUUGUAUUUCCUUGUUGCAAUCCAUGUUAAAUUCACCUCAUGUUUAUAAUCAAAAUAAAGCUUUUAAUAAACAUAUCGUUGAUGCUAUGAUGAAAUCUUUUGAAGAAAAACUUGAGUUGAAAGUUUCUAUCCCUAGAAAGCUUUAUGAUGAGUGGUGACCCACUAUUAAGAUUAAAAUUAAAGAUUAUGAGUGCAAUGCUUUGUGUGAUUUCGGUGCUAGUGUUUCCACUAUUCCGAAAACUUUAUGUGAUGUGCUAGGUUUCCAUAAAUUUGAUGAUUUUUCUUUGAAUUUGCAUCUAGCGGAUUCCACUAUUAAGAAACCUAUGGGAAGGAUUAAUGAUAUUCUUAUUGUUGCAAAAAGGAACUAUGUGCCCAUAGAUUUCACUGUGCUUGAUAUAGAUUGCAAUCCUACAUGUCCUAUUAUUCUUGGUAGACCUUUUCUUAGAACAAUUGGUGCAAUUAUUAAUAUGAAAGAAGGAAACACAAGAUUUCAAAUUCCGUUAAGGAAUGGCAUGGAACACAUUGCAAAAAUAAAAUUAAGUUGCCAUAUGAAUCUAUUAUAAGGGCUACUUAUGGAUUGCAUACCAAAGAUGACAAUACCUAGAUCUAUGUUUUAUGCCUAGCUAGGGGCGUUAAACAAUAGCGCUUGUUGGGAGGCAACCCAAUUUUAUUUUUAUGUUUUUUUUUGGUUCUAUUCUUGAAUAAAUGCACAUUAUUACCUCUGUAAUAAUUGUGUUUUGGUGUUUAAAUUAGUGUUUGAGCCAAGCAAGACCAUUGUGAUACUUUGGUUUAUCGUUGAUUUGAUCUUGAUGAAAAACAGAAUCUUUUGUGGUCAGAAACGGAAUUGAUAUGGGCUGCUUGAACGUGAUAAAUUCUUGAUUCAUUUACACAAGAUUCAUAGAUGAAUUACCUAUGUUUUCCUAAUUUUUCAGAAUUUUUGGAGUUACAGAAGUAUACGAAGUUUACAAAUUACUAUAGACUAUUAUGUUUUUGACAAAUUCUGUUUUCUAUGUGUUGUUUGCUUAUUUUGAUGAAUCUAUGGGUAGUAUCGGGUAGUGCAGUUUCUAUUUUUUCCUUGUUUUUGAGUUUUACAGAAAAGGAAUAUCAAACGGAAUCCAAACAGAAUAAAACUUUCAUGAUGAUUUUUCUUGGACCAGAAGACACCCAGAAGACUUGGGGAGAGGGCCAGAAGAGUCUCGAGGACUCCACAAGCUCUCAGGGCGUGCCCCCUGGCUUGUGGGUGAUAACUCACAAGUAUAGGGGAUUGCAACAGUUUUCGAGGGUAGAGUAUUCAACCCAAAUAUAUAGAUUCAACACAAGGGGAGCCAAAGAAUAUUUGAAGGUUUUAGCAGCUGAGUUGUCAAUUCAACCACACCUGGAGAUUAAUUAUCUCUAGCAAAGUGAUCAGUAGCAAAGUAGUUUGAUAGUUUUGAUAGAGUGACAACAGCAAUGGUAACAGUAAUAAUGAUAGCAGUAAUUUGUAGCAAGUGUAACAGUGAUGAUAGCAGUAGUAACUUAGCAGAAACAAUAUAAGAUAAAUUCGUAGGCAUUGGAUCGGUGACUUGUUGGAUGAUAUUCAUCAUGUGACAGUUAUAACUUAGGGCGAUAAGACACUAGCUCCAGUUCAUCGGUAUAAUGUAGGCAUGUAUUCCGUAAAUAGUAAUACAUGAUUUAUAGAAAGAACUUGCAUGACAUCUUUUGUCCUACCCUCCCGUGGCAGCGGGGUCCAUAUUGAAAACUAAGGGAUAUUAAGGCCUCUACUACGUCUUGAGCUUGCGUUGGUUUUCCUUGAAGAGGAAAGGGUGAUGCAGCAAUAGUAGCGUAAGUAUUUCCCUCAGUUUUUGAGAACCAAGGUAUCAAUCCAGUAGGAGGCUCCUCAAAAGUCCCACACACCUACACAAACAAACAAUAACCUCGCAACCAGCGCAAUAAAGGGGUUGUCAAUCCUUUCACGGUAAAUUGCAAAAGUGAGAUCUGAUAGAGAUAAUAAGAUAAAUAAAUAUUUUUGGUAUUUUUAUGAUAUAGGUUGGAAAAGUAAAGAUGCAAAUAAAAGUAGAUUGUAAACUUAUAUGAUAAAAAUAAGACCCAGGGCCCAUAGGUUUCACUAGUGGCUUCUCUCAAGAUAGCAUCAAUAUUAUGGUGGGUGAACAAAUUAAUGUCGAGCAAUUGAUAGAAAAGCGCAUAUUUAUGAGAUUAUCUAGGUAUGAUCAUGUAUAUAGGCAUCACGCCUGUGACAAGUAGAUCGAAACAAUUCUGCAUCUACUACUAUUACUGGACACAUCGACCGACUCCUGCCUACAUCUAGAGUAUUAAGUUCAUAAGAACAGAGUAACACAUUAAGAAAGAUGACAUGAUGUAGAGGGAUAAACUCAUGCAAUAUGAUAUAAACCCCAUCUUUUUAUCCUCGAUGGCAACAAUACAAUACGUGCCUUGCUGCCCCUGCUGUCACUGGGAAAGGACACCGCAAGAUUGAACCCAAAGCUAAGCACUUCUCCCAUUGCAAGAAAAACUGAUAAUUCGAAGAGACUUGCAAAGAUAACUUAAUCACACAUAAAAGAAUUCAUAGGAGAUUCAAAUAUUUCUCAUAGAUAAACUUGAUCAUAAACCCACAAUUCAUCGGAUCUCGGCAAAGACACCGCAAAAAGAGUUACAUCGAAUAGAUCUCCUAGAAGAUCGAGGAGAACUUUGUAUUGAGAUUCAAAGAGAGAGAAGAAACCAUCUAGCUAAUAACUAUGGACCCAAAGGUCUGUGGUAAACUAUUCACAACUCAUUGGAGAGGCCUUGGAGAUGAUGUAGAGGCCCUCCAUGGUCGAUUCCCCCUCCGGUGGAGCACCGGCGAAGGCUCCGAGAUGGGAUCUCGCAGAUACAGAAGGUUGCGGCGGUGUAAUUAGGUUUUCGUGGUGCUCCUCGAUGGUCUCAGGGUACGUGGGUAUAUAUAGGAGGAAUAAGUAGGUAACUGGAUGCUCGAGGGGCCCACGAGGGUGGGGGCGCGCCGGGCACCCUUGUGGCCGCCUCCUCUAUUUCUUGACGUCCACUCCAAGUCCCCUGGAUCACGUUUGUUCCAAAAAGAUCGCUUCCGAAGGUUUCAUUCCGUUUGGACUCCGUUUGAUAUUCCUUUCCUUCGAAACACUGAAAUAGGCAAAAAAACAGCAAUUCGGGCUGGGCCUCCGGUUAGUAGGUUAGUCCCAAAAAUGAUAUAAAAGUGUAAAGUAAAUCCCAUAAAUAUCCAAAACGAGUAAUAUAAUAGCAUGGAACAAUCAAAAAUUAUAGAUACAUUGAAGACGUAUCAAGCAUCCCCAAGCUUAAUUCCUGCUCGUCCUCGAGUAGGUAAAUGUUAAAAACAGUAUUUUUGAUGUGGAAUGCUACCUAGCAUAAUUUUCAAUGUAAUUUUCUUUAUUGUGGUAUGAAUGUUCAGAUCCAAAUGAUUCAAAAUAAAAUUUCAUAUUGACAUAAGAAAUAGUAAUACUUCAAGCAUACUAAUCAAAGCAAUCAUGUCUUCUCAAAAUAACAUGGCUAAAGAAAGUUAUCCCUACAAAAUCAUAUUGUCUUGCUGUUGCUCUAUCUUCAUCACACUAAGUAUGUAAUCAUGCACAACCCCGAUGACAAGCCAAGCAAUUGUUUCAUACUUUAGUAAUCUCAAACUUUUUCAACUUUCAUGCAAUAAAUGAGCGUGAGCCAUGGACAUAUCACUAUAUGUGGAAUAGAAUGGUGGUUGUGGAGAAAAAAAAAGGAGAAGAUAGUAUCACAUCAACUUGGCGUAUCACCGGGCUAUGGAGAUGCCCAUUAAUAGAUAUCAAUGUGAGUGAGUAGGGAUUGCCAUGCAACGGAUGCACUAGAGCUAUAAAUGUAUGAAAGAUCAACAAAAGAAACUAAGUGGGUGUGCAUCCAACUCGCUUGCUCACGAAGACCUAGGGCAUUUUGAGGAAGCCCAUCAUUGGAAUAUACAAGCCAAGUUCUAUAAUGAAAAAUUCCCACUAGUAUAUGGAAGUGACAACAUAGGAGACUCUCUAUCACGAAGAUCAUGGUGCUACUUUGAAGCACAAGUGUGGUAAAAAGGAUAGUAGCAUUGUCCCUUCUCUCUUUUUCUCUCAUUUUUUUGGUGGGCUCUUUGGCCUCUUUUUUUAUUUGGUGGGCUCUUUGGCCUCUUUUUUUAUAAAGUCCGAAGUCUCAUCCCGACUUGUGGGGGAAUCAUAGUCUCCAUCAUCCUUUCCUCACUGGGGCAAUGUUCUAAUAAUGAAGAUCAUCACACAUUUAUUUACUUACAACUCAAGAUUACAACUCGAUACUUAGGAGAAGAUAUGACUCUAUAUGAAUGCCUCUGGCGGUGUACCGGGAUAUGCAAUGAAUCAAGAGUGGAAUUUAUGAAAAAUUAUGAAGGUGGCCUUGCCACAAAUACGAUGUCAACUACAUGAUCAUGCAAAGAGCAAUAUGACAAUGAUGAUGCAUGUCAUAUAAACAAAACAGUGGAAAGUUGCAUGGCAAUAUAUCUCGGAAUGGCUAUGGAAAUGCCAUAAUAGGUUGGUCUGAUGGCUGUUUUGAGGAAGGUAUAUGGUGGGUGUAUGGUAUCGGCGAAAGUUGCGCGGUAUAAGAUAGGCUAGCAAUGGUGGAAGGGUGAGAGUGCGUAUAAUCCAUGGACUCAACAUUAAUCAUAAAGUAACCAUAUACUUAUUAUAAAAAUCUACAAGUCAUUGAAAACAAAGCACUACGCGCAUGCUGCUAGGGGGAUAAAUUGGUAGGAAAAGACCAUCGCUCGUCCCCGACCGCCACUCAUAAGGAAGAAAAUCAAUAAAUGAAAUUGUGCUCCAACUUCAUCACAAAGCGGUUCACCAUACGUGCAUGCUACGGGAAUCACAAACUUCAAAACAAGUAUUCUUCAAAUUCAUAAUCACCCAACUAGCAUGGGAAGGAUUAAUGAUGUUCUUAUUGUUGCAAAUAGGAACUAUGUGCCCAUAGAUUUCACUGUGCUUGAUAUAGAUUGCAAUCCUACAUGUCCUAUUAUUCUUGGUAGACCUUUCUUAGAACAAUUGGUGCAAUUAUUGAUAUGAAAGAAGGAAACAUAAGAUUUCAAUUUCCGUUAAGGAAGGGCAUGGAACACUUUGCAAAAAUAAAAUUAAGUUGCCAUAUGAAUCUAUUAUAAGGGCUACUUAUGGAUUGCAUACCAAAGAUGACAAUACCUAGAUCUAUGUUUUAUGCCUAGCUAGGGGCGUUAAACAAUAGCGCUUGUUGGGAGGCAACCCAAUUUUAUUUUUAUGUUUUUUAUUUUUGGUUAUGUUCUUGAAUAAAUACACAUUAUUACCUCUGUAAUAAUUGUGUUUUGGUGUUCAAAUUAGUGUUUGAGCCAAGCAAGAUCAUUGGGAUACUUUGGUAUAUCGUUGAUUUGAUCUUGCUGAAGAACAAAAUCUUUUGUGGUCAGAAACAGAAUUGAUAUGAGAUGCUUCAACGUGAUAAAUUCUUGAUUUAUUUACACAAGAUUCAUGGAUGAAUUACCUAUGUUUUCCUAAUUUUUCAGAAUUUUUGGAGUUACAGAAGUAUACGAAGUUUACAAAUUACUAUAGACUGUUAUGUUUUUGACAGAUUCUGUUUUCUAUGUGUUGUUUGCUUAUUUUGAUGAAUCUAUGGGUAGUAUCGGGGGGUAUGAACCAUGGAAAAGUUGGAACACAGUAGAUAUUACACCAAUAUAAAUAAAGAAUGAUUUAGAAACAGUACCAAAAAGUGGUGAUUUAUUUUUGUAUACUAACGGAUCUCAUGAGUUUUCUGUUGAGUUUUUUUUUUUGAAGUUUUGAAUUUUUGGGUUAAGAUUUGAUGGACUAUGGAAUAAGGAGUGGCAAUAGCCUAAGCUUGGGGAUUCCCAAGGCACCCCAAGGUGAUAUUCAAGGACAAACAAGCAUCUAAGCUUGGAGAUGCCCCAAAUGGCAUCCCCUCUUUCGUCUUCAAUCCAUCGGUAAAUUUACAUGAGUCUAUAUAUUUAUUCACCACAUGAUAUGUGUUUUGCUUGGAGCGUCUUGUAUGAUAUGAGUCUUUGCCUUUUAGUUUGCCACAAUCAUCCUUGCUUUACACAUCUUUUCAGAGGGACACGCAUGAAUCAUGAAUUUAUUAGGAUACUCUGUGUGCUUCACUUGUAUCUUUUGAGCUAGGCAAUUUGCUCUAGUGCUUCACUUAUAUCUUUUUAGAGCACGGCGGUGGCUUUAUUUUAUAGAAAUUGUUGAACACUCAUGCUUCAAUUAUAUUAUUUUGAGAUUCUCUAAACAACAUGGUAAUUUUCUUAGAUUAUGAAUUUAGUCCUAAUAUGAUGGGCAUCCAAGAGGGAUAUAAUAAAAACUUUCAUAUAAAGAGCGUUGAAUACUAUGAGAAGUUUGAUUCCUUGCAUUUGUUUUGAGAUAUAAGGAUGGUGAUAUUAGAGUCAUGCUAGUGAGUAAUUGUGGAUUGGUACAAAUACUUGUGUUAAAGUUUGUGAUUCCCAUAGCAUGCACGUAUCGUGAACCGUUAUGUGAUGAAGUUAGAGCAUGAUUUAUUUAUUGAUUGUCUUCCUUAUGAGUGGCGGUCGGGGACGAGCGAUUGUCUUUUCCCACCAAUCUAUCCCCCUAGGAGAAUGCGUGUAGUACUUUGUUUCGAUAGCUAAUAAAUUUUUGCAACAAUUAUGUGAGUUCUUGAUGACUAAUGUUGAGUCCUAGUACCGCGCAAGUUUCGCCGGUACCAUACACCCACCAUAUACCUUCCUCAAAAUAGCCACCAUACCUACCUGUUAUGGCAUUUCCAUAGCCAUUCCGAGAUAUAUUGCCAUGCAACUUCCACCGUUUUGUUUUUUAUGACACGCUUCAUCAUUGUCAUAUUGCUUUGCAUGAUCAUGUAGUUGGCAUAGUAUUUGCGGCAAGGCCACCGUUCAUAUUUUUUAUACAUGUCACUCUUGAUCAUUGCACGUCCUGGUACACCACUGGAGGCAUUCAUAUAGAGUCAUAUUUUGUGCUAGAAUCGAGUUGUAGUUCUUGAGUUGUAAGUAAAUAAAAGUGUGAUGAUCAUCAUUAUUAGAGCAUUUGUCCCAUUUGAGGAAAGGAUGAUGGAAGCUAUGAUUCCCUCACAAGUUGGGAUGAGUCUCUAGACUUUAUAAAAAAACAAAAGAGGCCAAAGAAUCCCAAAUAAAAUAAAAGAGACUAGAGAAUCCCAAACAAAAAAAUGAGAGAAAAUAGAGAAGGGACAAUGUUACUAUCCUUUUUCCACACUUGUGCUUCAAAGUAGCACCAUGAUCUUCGUGAUAGAGAGUCUCCUAUUUUGUCACUUCCAUAUACUAGUGGGAAUUUUUCAUUAUAGAACUUGGCUUGUAUAUUCCAAUGAUGGGCUUCCUCAAAUUGCCCUAGGUCUUCAUGAGCACGAGAGUUGGAUGAACACCCACUUAGUUUCUUUUUGAGCCUUCAUACACUUAUAGCUCCAGUGCAUCUGUUGCAUGGCAAUCCCUACUCGCUCACAUUGAUAUCUAUUGAUGGGCAUCUCCAUAGCCUGUUAAUAGGCCUAGUUGAUGUGAUACUUUCUCCUUCUUCUUUUCUUCUCCACAACCACCAUAUUAUAUUCCACCUAUAGUGCCAUAUCCAUGGCUCACGCUCAUGUAUUGCGUGAAAGUUGAAGAAGUUUGAGAACAUCAAAAGUAUGAAACAAUCGCUUGGCUUGUCAUCGGGGUUGUGCAUGAUUUAAUACUUUUGGUGAUGAAGAUGGAGCAUAGCCAGACUAUAAGAUUUUGUAGGGAUAACUUUCUUUGGCCAUGUUAUUUUGAGAAGACAUGAUUGCUUUAUUAGUAUGCUAGAAGUAUUGUUGUUUUUAUGUCAAUAUUAAACUUUUGUUUAAAAUCUUAUGGAUCUGAAUAUUCAUGCCACAAUAAAGAAGAUUACAUGGAUAAAUAUGUUAUGUAGCAUUCCACAUCAAAAAAAAUCUGUUUUUAUCAUUUACCUACUCAAGGACGAGUAGGAAUUAAGCCCGGGGAUGCUUGAUACGUCUCCAACGUAUCUAUAAUUUUUGAUUGUUCCAUGCUAUUAUAUUAUCUAUUUUGGAUGUUUUAUAUGCAUUAAUAUGCUAUUUUAUAUUAUUUUUGGGACUAACAUAUUAACCUAGAGCCCAGUGCCAGUUUAUUAUUUUUCCUUGUUUUUGAGUUUUACAGAAAAGGAAUAUCAAACAGAGUCCAAACAGAAUAAAACUUUCGUGAUGAUUUUUCUUGGACCAGAAGACACCCAGAAGACUUGGGGAGAGGGCCAGAAGAGUCCCGAGGACUCCAAAAGCUCUCAGGGCGCGCCCCCUGGCUUAUGGGUGAUAACCCACAAGUAUAGGGGAUCGCAACAGUUUUCGAGGGUAGAGUGUUCAACCCAAAUUUAUAGAUUCGACACAAGGGGAGCCAAAGAAUAUUUGAAGGUAUUAGCAGCUAUGUUUUCAAUUCAACCACACCUAGAGAUUAAUUAUCUCCAGCAAAGUGAUCAGUAGCAAAGUAGUUUGAUAGUUUUGAUAGUAGUGACAACACCAAUGGUAACGCUAAUAAUGAUAGCAGUAAUUUGUAGCAAGUGUAACAAUGAUGAUAGCAGUAGUAACUUAGCAGAAACAAUAUAAGAUAAAUUCGUAGGCACUGGAUCGGUGACUUGUUGGAUGAUAUUCAUCAUGUGACAGUUAUAACCUAGGGCGAUAUGGCACUAGCUCCAGUUCAUUGAUAUAAUGUAGGCAUGUAUUUCGUAAAUAGUAAUACAUGCUUUAUUGCAAGAACUUGCAUGACAUCUUUUGUCCUACCCUCCCGUGGCAGCGGGGUCCAUAUUAAAAACUAAGGGAUAUUAAGGCCUCUGCUAUGUCUUGAGCUUGUGUUGGUUUUCCUUGAAGAAGAAAGGGUGAUGCAGCAAUAGUAGCGUAAGUAUUUCCCUCAGUUUUUGAGAACCAAGGUAUCAACCCGGUAGGACGCUCCUCAAAAGUCCCACGCACCUACACAAACAAACAAGAACCUCGCAACCAACACAAUAAAGGGGUUGCCAAUCCCUUCACGGUAAAUUGCAAAAGUGAGAUCUGAUAGAGAUAAUAAGAUAAAUAAAUAUUUUUGGUAUUUUUAUGAUAUAGAUUGGAAAAGUAAAGAUGCAGAUAAAAGUAGAUUGUAAACUUAUAUGAUAAAACAAGACCCGGGGCCCAUAGGUUUCACCAGUGGCUUCUCUCAAGAUAUCAUAAAUAUUACGGUGGGUGAACAAAUUAAUGUUGAGCAAUUGAUAGAAAAGCACAUAGUUAUGAGAUUAUCUAGGUAUGAUCAUGUAUAUAGGCAUCACGUCCGUGACAAGUAGAUCGAAACGAUUCUGCAUCUACUACUAUUACUCCACACAUCGACCGACUCCUGCCUUCAUCUAGAGUAUUAAGUUCAUAAGAACAGAGUAACACAUUAAGAAAGAUGACAUGAUGUAGAGGGAUAAACUCAUGCAAUAUGAUAUAAACCCCAUCUUUUUAUCCUCGAUGGCAACAAUACAAUACGUGCCUUGCUGCCCCUCCUGUCAGUGGGAAAGGACACCGCAAGAUUGAACCCAAAGCUAAGCACUUCUCCCAUUGCAAGAAAGAUCAAUCUAGUAGGCCAAACCAAACUGAUAAUUCGAAGAGACUUGCAAAGAUAACUUAAUCACACAUAAAAGAAUUCAGAGGAGAUUCAAAUAUUUCUCAUAGAUAAACUUGAUCAUAAACCCACAAUUCAUCGAAUCUCGACAAAGACACCGCAAAAAGAGUUACAUCGAAUAGAUCUCCUAGAAGAUCAAGGAGAACUUUGUAUUGAGAUUCAAAGAGAGAGAAGAAACCAUCUAGCUAAUAACUAUGGACCCGAAUGUCUGUGGUAAACUAUUCACAACUCAUUGGAGAGGCCUUGGAGAUGAUGUAGAGGCCCUCCAUGGUCGAUUCCCCCUCCGGUGGAGCACCGGCGAAGGCUCCGAGAUGGGAUCUCGCAGAUACGGAAGGUUGCGGCGGUGUAAUUAGGUUUUCGUGGUGCUCCUCGAUGGUCUCAGGGUACGUGGGUAUAUAUAGGAGGAAUAAGUAGGUAAGUGGAUGCUCGAGGGGCCCACGAGGGUGGGGGUGCGCCCACCCCUAGGGGGCGCGUCGGGCACCCUCAUGGCCGCCUCCUCUGUUGCUUGACGUCCACUCCAAGUCCCCUGGAUCAUGUUUGUUCCAAAAAGAUCGCUUCUGAAGGUUUCAUUCCAUUUGGACUCCGUUUGAUAUUCCUUCCUUUGGAACACUGAAAUAGGCAAAAAAAAAACAGCAAUUCGGGCUGGGCCUCUGGUUAGUAGGUUAGUCCCAAAAAUGAUAUAAAAGUGUAAAGUAAAGCCCAUAAACAUCCAAAACGGGUAAUAUAAUAGCAUGGAACAAUAAAAAAUUAUAGAUACGUUGAAGACGUAUCAAGCAUCCCCAAGCUUAAUUCCUGCUCAUCCUCGAGUAGGUAAAUGAUAAAAACAGAAUUUUUGAUGUGGAAUGCUACCUAGCAUAAUUCUCAAUGUAAUUUUCUUUAUUGUGGUAUGAAUGUUCAGAUCCAAAUGAUUCAAAAUAAAAGUUCAUAUUGACAUAAGAAAUAGUAAUACUUCAAGCAUACUAAUCAAAGCAAUCAUGUCUUCUCAAAAUAACAUGGCUAAAGAAAGUUAUCCCUACAAAAUCAUAUAGUCUGGCUAUUGCUCUAUCUUCAUCACACAAAGUAUUUAAUCAUGCACAACCCCGAUGACAAGCCAAGCAAUUGUGUCAUACUUAGUAAUCUCAAACUUUUUCAACUUUCAUGCAAUACAUGAGCAUGAGCCGUGGACAUAGCACUAUAUGUGGAAUAGAAUGGUGGUUGUGGAGAUGACAAAAAAGGGGAAGAUAGUCUCACAUCAACUAGGCGCAUCAACGGGCUAUAAAGAUCCCCAUUAAUAGAUAUCAAUGUGAGUGAGUAGGGAUUGCCAUGCAACGGAUGCACUAGAGAUAUAAAUGUAUGAAAGCUCAACAAAAGAAACUAAGUGGGUGUGCAUCCAACUCGCUUGCUCACGAAGACCUAGGGCAUUUUGAGGAAGCCCAUCAUUGGAAUAUACAAGCCAAGUUCUAUAAUAAAUAAUUCCCACUAGUAUAUGGAAGUGAGAACAUAGGAGACUCUCUAUCAUGAAGAUCAUGGUGCUACUUUGAAGCACAAGUGUGGUAAAAAGGAUAGUAGCAUUGUCCCUUCUCUCUUUUUCUCUCAUUUUGUUUGGUGGGCUCUUUGGCCUCUUUUUUAUUUGGUGGGAUCUUUGGCCUCUUUUUUUAUAGAGUCCUAAGUCUCAUCCCGACUUGUGGGGGAAUCAUAGUCUCCAUCAUCCUUACCUCAUUGGGGCAAUGCUCUAAUAAUGAACAUCAUCACACAUUUAUUUACUUACAACUCCAGAUUACAACUCGAUACUUAGGACAAGAUAUGACUCUAUAUGAAUGCCUCCGGCGGUGUACCGGGAUAUGCAAUGAAUCAAGAGUGACAUGUAUGAAAAAUUAUGAAGGUGUCCUUGCCACAAAUACGAUGUCAACUACAUGAUCAUGCAAAUAGCAAUAUGACAAUGAUGAUGCGUGUCAUAUAAACGAAACGGUGGAAAGUUGCAUGGAAAUAUAUCUCGUAAUGGCUAUGGAAAUGCCAUAAUAGGUAGGUAUGAUGGCUGUUUUGAGGAAGGUAUAUGGUGGUUGUAUGGUACCGGCGAAAGUUGCGCGUUACAAGAGAGGAUAGCAAUGGUGGAAGGGUGAGAGUGCGUAUAAUCCAUGGACUCAACAUUAAUCAUAAAGAAAUCAUAUACUUAUUAUAAAAAUCUACAUGUCAUUGAAAACAAAGCACUACGCGCAUGCUCCUAGGGGGAUAGAUUGGUAGGAAAAGACCACAGCUCAUCCCCGACCGCCACUCAUAAGGAAGACAAUCAAUAAAUAAAAUUGUGCUCCAACUUCAUCACAAAGCGGUUCACCAUACGUGCAUGCUACGGGAAUCACAAACUUCAACACUAGUUUCUUUAAAUUCAUAAUCACCCAACUAGCAUGACUCUAAUAUCACCACUUUUAUAUCUCAAAACAAUUAUCAAGUAUCAAAUUGAUCAUAGCAUCCAAUUCACUUCCUAUGAUAGUUUUUAUUAUACCCAACUUGGAUGCCCAUCAUUCUAGGACCAAUUUUAUAACCAUAGAAAAUACCAUGCUAUUCCAAAAGACUCUCAAAAUAAUAUAAGUGAAGCAUGAGGGAUCAACAAUUUCUACAAAAUUAAGCCACCGCCAUGCUUUAAAAGAUAUAAGUGAAGCACUAGAGCAAAACUAUCUAGCUCAAAAGAUAUAAGUGCAGCACAUAGAGUAUUCUAAUAAAUUCUAAUCAAGUGGGCUUUUCCCAAAAGGUUUGUACAACAAGGAUGAUUGUGGUAAUAUAAAAAGAAAAGACUAAUAUCAUACAAGAUGCUCCAAGCAAAACACAUAUCAUGUGGCGAAUAAAAAUAUAGCUCCAAGUAAAGUUACCGAUAGACGAAGACGAAAGAGGGGAUGCCUUCCGGGGCAUCCCCAAGCUUAGGCUUUUGGUUAUCCUUGAAUAUAUUGGGGUGCCAUGGGCAUCCCCAAGUUUAGGCUCUUUCCACUCCUUAUUCCAUAGUCCAUCAAAUCUCUACCCAAAACUUGAAAACUUCACAACACAAAACUCAACAGGAAAUCUCAUAAGCUCCGUUAGUGCAAGAAAGAGAAACCACCACAUAAGGUACUGUAAAGAACUCAUUCUUUAUUUAUAUUGGUGUUAAACCUACUGUAUUCCAACUUCUUUAUGGUUCAUACCCCUUGAUACUAGCCAUAGAUGCAUCAAAAUAAGCAAACAACACACGAAAAACAGAAUCUGUCAAAAACAGAAAAAUCUGUAGCAAUCUGUAACUCUCGAAUACUUAUGGAACCCUAAAAAUCCUACAAAAAUAUGAAGUCCUGGGAAAUUUUCCUAUAGAUCUGAAUCAACGCAAAAAUCACGUUUCUGUGAAUUACUAAAAUUAUUUUCAUGCGUGCAAAAGUUUCUAUUUUUCAGUAGAAUCAAAUUAACUCUCACCGUAGGUUAUCCUAUAGGUUCUACUUGGCACAAACACUAAUUAAAACAUGAAAACACAUCUAAAAAUAAUCUAAGUGAAAAAUUUAUUUCUAAACAGAAGCAAAAAGCAAGAAACAAAAAUAAAAUUGGGUUGCCUCCCAACUAGCACUAUCGUUUAAUGCCCCUAGCUAGGCAUAAAAGCGAGGAUAGAUCUAAGUAGUGCCAUCUUUGGCACUCAAUUCUUCAAUAGAGCACUUAUAAUCCUUAGGAGUUUCUUUCUUUAUAGCAAUGAUUAAACUCCUAGGAAAGAAAUCAAGAAGUUCGUUUGUUGCAAAAGGUUCCUUAAUGACAGCGAGAAAAUUGGGAUGAACACUUAUUGAUUUGAGAUCGGCACUUUCUUUACUAGAAGAUUCACCCUUAUUUUUAGGAACAUACAUGACCUUGGCAAUUUUGGUAGGGGGAGUUGAGGUAUUUUUCACAGAUGAAAAGGAAGACCCUAAGUUGGUGAUAAUGUCCUCCAGUUUACCAAUUCUUGUAGAAUCUAAAUCUAUUCUUUCAUUAACUAUAGGUUCUUUUUCUUUAAAAUUUUCCAAAGUAACUCCAACCCUAGAUCCAUAUUGGGUAAUUUGGUUGUGGAUCUUUUUAUCCAAAUUUUCUAUUAACUCAUCAGUGGCAACUUUAUUUUCAAUAAUUUCGAGCCUUUGCAUCACAUGUUCCAAGGUUAAAACAGUUCCAUUAACCAAAAGAGGGGGUGGUCCAAACAAAUCUCACCUAGCAUUAUAAGCAUCAAAAGUAUGGCUACCCAAGAAAUUUCCUCCGGUAAUGGUAUCAAGAAUAUACCUAUUCCAAGGUGUAAUGCCCACAUAAAAAUUGCGAAGAAGAACGAAAGUACAUUGCUUCCUAGUAGAUCUAUUUUGAGCAUUGCAAAUUCUAUGCCAAGCAUCUUUUAAAUUUUCUCCCUCCCUUUGUUUAAAAGUGAGAACUUCAUGAUCGGGAGUAUUAACAAUAAUAGGAGGACUAGCCAUAACGACAAGCACACAAAAGACAAGCGAAAGAGAGAGGAGAUUGGGAAAGAGAGGGCGAAUAAAACAGCAAGGGUGAAGUGGGGGAGAGGAAAACGAGAGGCAAAUGGAAAAUAAUGUAGUGCGAGGGAGAUGAGUUUGUGAUGGGUACUUGGCAUGUCUUGACUUGAGCGAAGACCUCCCCAGCAACGGCGCCAGAAAUCCUUCUUGCUACGUCUUGAGCUUGUGUUGGUUUUCCUUGAAGAGGAAAGGGUGAUGUAGCAAUAGUAGCGUAAGUAUUUCCCUUAGUUUUUGAGAACCAAGGUAUCAAUCCAGUAGGAGGCUCCUCAAAAGUCUCACGCACCUACACAAACAAACAAAAACCUCGCAACCAACACAAUAAAGGGGUUGUCAAUCCCUUCACGAUAAAUUGCAAAAGUGAGAUGUGAUAAAAUAAUAAGAUAAAUAAAUAUUUUUGGUAUUUUUAUGAUAUAGGUUGGAAAAGUAAAGAUGCAAAUAAAAGUAGAUUGUAAACUUAUAUGAUAAAAGAUAGACCCGAGGGUCAUAAGUUUCACUACUGACUUCUCUCAAGAUAGCAGAAAUAUUACGGUGGGUGAACAAAUUACUGUCGAGCAAUUGAUAGAAAAGCACAUAGUUAUGAGAUUAUCUAGGCAUGAUCAUGUAUAUAGGCAUCACGUCCGUGACAAGUAGAUCGAAACGAUUCUGCAUCUACUACUAUUACUCCACACAUCGACCGACUCCUGCCCGCAUCUAGAGUAUUAAGUUCAUAAGAGCAGAGUAACACAUUAAGAAAGAUGACAUGAUGUAGAGGGAUAAACUCAUGCAAUAUGAUAUAAACCCCAUCUUUUUAUCCUCGAUGGCAACAAUACAAUACGUGCCUUCCUCCCCCUAGUGUCACUGGGAAAGGACACCACAAGAUUGAACCCAAAGCUAAGCACUUCUCCCAUUGCAAGAAAGAUCAAUCUAGUAGGCCAAACCAAACUGAUAACUAGAAGAGACUUGCAAAGAUAACUUAAUCACACAUAAAAGAAUUCAGAGGAGAUUCAAAUAUUUCUCAUAGAUAAACUUGAUCAUAAACCCACAAUUCAUCGAAUCUCGACAAACACACCGCAAAAAGAGUUACAUCGAAUAGAUCUCCAAGAAGAUCCAGGAGAACUUUGUAUUGAGAUUCAAAGAGAGAGAAGAAGCCAUUUAGCUAAUAACUAUGGACCCGAAGGUCUAUGGUAAACUACUCACAACUCAUCGGAGAGGCCUUGGAGAUGAUGUAGAGGCCCUCCGUGGUCGAUUCCCCCUCCGGCGGAGCACCGACGAAGGCUCCAAGAUGGGAUCUCGCGGAUACAGAAGGUUGCGGCGGUGGAAUUAGGUUUUCGUGGUGCUCCUCGAUGGUUUCAGGGUACGUGGGUAUAUAUAGGAGGAAGAAGUAGGUCGGUGGACGCUCGAGGGGCCCACGAGGGUGGGGGGCGUGCCCACCCCUAUGGGGCGCGCCGGGCACCCUCGUGGCCGCCUCCUCUGUUGCUUGACGUCCAAUCCAAGUCCCCUGGAUCACGUUUGUUCCAAAAAGAUCGCUUCCGAAGGUUUCAUUCCGUUUGGACUCCCUUUGAUAUUCCUUUCCUUCGAAACACCGAAAUAGGCAAAAAAACAGCAAUUCAGGCUGGGCCUCCGGUUAGUAGGUUAGUCCCAAAAAUGAUAUAGAAGUGUAAAGUAAAGCCCAUAAACAUCCAAAAUGGGUAAUAUAAUAGCAUGGACCAAUCAAAAAUUAUAGAUACGUUGAAGACGUAUCAACCUUCUUUUAAUAGAGAACCAAAACAAAGCAUUAACACAUAGUGAAUACAUGAACUCCUCAAACUAUGGUCAUCACCGAGAGUGGGCCCGGUUGUUGUCACUCCGGGGUUGUCGGAUCAUAACACAUAGUAGGUGACUAUAACUUGGAAGAUCGAAUCUAAAACAUGGAUAUAAUGAUGAAUUCAUAAACGGUUCAGAUCUGAGUUCAUGGCACCCGGGCCCAAAGUGACAAGCAUUAAGCAUAGCAAAGUCAUAGCAACAUCAAUCUAAGAACAUAGUGGAUACUAGGGAUCAGGCCCUAACAAAACUAACUCGAUUACAUGUUGAAUCUCAUCCAACUCCUCACCGACCAGUGAGCCUACGAAGGAAUUACUCACUCCCGGUGGGGAGCAUCAUGGAAUUGGCAAUGGAGAUGGGUUGGUGAUGAUGAAGAUUGAAGAUCCCCCUCUCUGGAGCCCCAAACAGACUCCAAAUCUGCCUUCCCGAGGAAGAACAGGGCUUGGCGGUGGCUCCGUCUUGUGGAACGCGAUAAUUCUUUCUCCCUGAUUUUUUCUCCAAAAAUAGGAAUUUAUAGUGUCAGGGUUGAGGUCUGCGGGGCCACCAGGUGGGUACAACCCACCUGGGCGCGCCAGGAGAGGGGGGCGCGCCCUGGUGGGUUGUGCCCACCCAGAGGCCCCUCUUUUGUGGAUCUUGGCUCCAGUAAUUCUCUUUUAUUCCAUAAAAAGUCCUCACAAAGUUUCAUUUCAUUCCGAGAACUUUUAUUUCUGCACAAAAACAACACCAUGGUAGCUCUACUGAAAACAUCGUCAGUCCAGGGUUAGUUUCAUUCAAAUCAUGCAAAUUAGAGUCCAAAACAAGAGGAAAAGCGUGAGAAAAAGUAGAUACGUUGGAAACGUAUCAACUCCCCCAAGCUUAAACCUUUGCUUGUCCUCAAGCAAUUCAGUGGAUAAACUGAAAAUGAGAAAGAAAAACUUCUACAAACUCUUUUGCUCUUGUUUGCAUAAAUAGGUUUAAAGAGCACCCAUGUUUUUAGCCAGCAUUAUAACUAACCAUGUCGACAAUAACAUUUAAAGAUUAUAUUAACUGAUAUAAAUGACAUAAUCAACUAGCGAGCAAUAAUAAGAUAUCUCAAACAACAACACGUUGUCAAAACAACCAUGAUAUAAUAUACCAAUAGUGGUAUCUCGCUAGCCCUUUCUGAGACCACAAAACAUAAAUGCAGAGCACCUCCAAAGUUUGAGCAGCGACUAGACAUUGUAAUUCAUCGUAGAAAAGAUCCAGUCAUGAUGCACCCAACAUUAGCUAUACAUAAUGCAUAAAUCAUGACAAUUGUGCUCUCUCAGUUUCUAGCGCUUGUUUUAGAAGGUGAUGACACAACAUAAAAGUAAAUAGAAAGUCCCUUCGUAGAGGGAAGCAGUGAUUUGCAGAGGUGCCACAACUCAGGUUUUUAGAAUAGAGAUAAAUGAUAUUUUGAGGCAUGCACCCUUCUUAUUCACUUAACGACCAUCAGUUAUCAACAUCUUCCAUGCUAAGCACACUAGUGGUGGUCCCAAGCGAUAAAAGUAAAGGUUUACCCCCCUCCAGCAUCAAUCACACUCCACGGCUUGUCCAAAACAAUAGGUGCCGUCCAUACCAACAUCAGUCCCGGGGGAGUUUUGUCUAAUUAUUUGCAUUUUUGAGUUUGGGACUGGGAAUCCCUAUUACCACCCAUCUUCUCGUGCGAUGGCGAGUGAAUAAACACUCGACCUGAGAAUAACCCGCUUAGCAUGGAAGAUACCGACCACCUCCUAUCGUUCUAUGAACAAUCCAGACACACAAAAAGGAUAAUUUUUAGAAGUUUUUAGAGGUGGCACAUGCAAAUUUACUUAGGACGGCAGGGUAAUACCGCAUAUAGGUAGGUAUGGUGGACUCAUCUGGAAUAACUUUGGGUUCAAGGUUUUUGAUGUACAAGCAGAGUUCCCGCUUAGUACAGGCGAAGGCUAGCAAUUAGAUUGAGAAGCGGCCAGCUAGAGAGCAACAACGAUCAUAACCAGGCAUUAUGCAUAAGUAACAUUGGACACUAGCAUGAGUAGGAUAUGAACACCAUGAACAUAAAUAUCAUAGAGGCUACGUUGGUUUUGAUUCAACUACAUGCAUGAACAUGUGCCAAGUCAAGCCACUCGAACAUUCAGAGGAGGAUACCAUAUCAUCAUACUGCAUCACAAUCAUUUUAACGCUAUGUUGAUAUCCAUGAUAAAUCAUUAUUCACUCCUAGCUACUUAUGCAUGGCAUGAGAAACUAUAAUCUCUAAUUGUCAUUGCAAACAUGUUUAAUCAUAAUAGGCUGAAGCCUGGAUACUAGGUUAAACAUAUUUACACAGACAGAACAAGUCGAGUUGAUACCAGUUUCUCCUUGCCAUGGCCAGUUCAUCAAAUAUCGUCAUUAUAUCCUUUCACUUGCAUGACCAAAUGAUAUGAAAAUAAUAAUAGUGCAAGAGUGCCAUGGACUAAGCUGGAAUCUGCAAACAUUUUAUUCAACAGGAGAGGACAAGGUAAAAUGUGCUCUUAUUAGUUCAACAGUUAUUCAUAUGAGAGCCACUCAACAUUUUCAUCGUGGUCUUGUCCUCGGUAGGACUCGAAUAAAAAGAAAAGAAAUUCAGAGAAACACACUGAAAUAUUUUUUGGAGUUUUUGGUUUUCUUGAACAAGCAAAUACAAGGAAAAAGCAAAAACGAGAAAACUAUUUACACGGGAAAGCUCCCAACAAGCAAAAGAAGAACAAGGAAAUCUUUUUGGAUUUUUUAGUGCUACUACUAAGCAUGCAUAGAAAGUGAAUUAUUACAACUAUUUUUUUGUUUUUCUAAAGUUUUUCAAACACACAAGAAGAAAGCAAGAAAAUAAAUCUAAGCAUGGAUGAUACAAUGAAAAAGUGUGAACACGAAUAAAUAGAAUGAUAUGUGAACAUGAAUGUAAUGUCGGUGAGAACGCGUACUCCCCCAAGCUUAGGCUUUUGCCUAGCUUGGUAGUUGAUCAGUAGCCUGGAGGGUAGUAGGGAUCCUGAGGAGCAGGCAUCCACUCAUCCCACUGCCGAGGCUCCUCCACAGCCUCUGCAGCAGCGUGAGCGUUCCAAUAGGCGAUGAUUUCUGCAGGCAUAAUCCGGUAUCGGCCCCUGGCAGCAGAAUCAAACAAAGCAAGCGCAGGCAAUGGAAUAACAUCACGAGUUUUAACGCUAUAGACUAGGUUGUAAGGAAUGGCGAUGGUAGGACGAUCAUGUGCAAGAAAGUGAUGAUGUUCCAUGGCUGCACAGUCUAGGUAAACCUUGGUCAGGGGGUAAUCAUGAGGGUGUAUCCCAACAUUGAAGUGGGCCACCAAACAAGUAGCAAAAAUCCCACCAUGUUUUUUAUUUUACCCUGGGAUUUAUUAAGAUGCAGACGACGAGCCACAAUAGCUCCCAAGCUAUGCGUGUUGUCGCCCUCAAGUGCACGACGAAAAACAACAAGGUCUGGUGAACUAAGUGCACCCACCUUCUCCCUAGCAAGCAAGCAUUUGGUAAUGGAAAGUGCAAAGUAAUGAACAACAGGAAAAUGUAAGCCAACGCAGUGAUGGCUGGCACCCCUCUCUCAUCACCCACUGUCAAAGUGCGAUAAAAGGCCUCAAACUCAGCCGGCCUAGGCGCAGCCAAGCUCCCAUCAGACGGGAUCAUGCAUAUGUCACAGAAUUCAGUAAGUGGUAUCUGAUGGUUUUCAGCAUAUAAGUCAAAGCUCACUUCAGGAGGAUUAUUCCUAGGCAGGAAAGUAAAACUUUGAACAAAGAUGUUUGUUAGGAUUUGGUGUUGGUCACACUCAUCUGCGAUGAAGUCCGUAAGGCCGACAUUAGCAAUAUAUUGCAUGAACUCCUCAAGAAUUCCAGCCUCUUGCAGGAACGGGGUGUGCGGCCAUUCGCACGACCGUACCUCCGCCAACCUCCGAGGGUGGAGAUCACUGUCAGAAGACUCCCCAAUAACACCCUUGGAGUUCUUCUUAGAGCCAAAUUUCCUGAAGAUAUUCAUGUCCGCGUACAAUUUUUCCUAUGAACAAAAAUCUGAAUUUUUAGUUCACAAAAUUUUCUCAAGAAAACUUCAGAAAAUUGAUAGCAACUACUCAUAGGGAUACAUAGAGGCCAUAGCAAGCAUUCAAACUACUUAGAACACUAAGAAUUCAACAUGCAAGCUCAUCUAAAGUAGCACCAAGAGUAGCUAAUUAUUCAUAAUAUAAACCACUAUAGCAAAAACUAAUUGGACAAAUGGUGGAAUCACAUACAAAGCAACAAUCCCCCGAAACAGUUUCGGAAAUGGAGCUUCGAGCAAAGAGAUCAAAAUCCGCGGGUUUGAGCUCAAGAACACGGGAGAGAGAGAGAGCAAUGGAGAUUUUUUUCUGGAGGCAAGUGAUGAUGUGGGCUAAAGAGAUAAGUGAGGGGGCCCACGUGGGGAUCACAACCCACCAGGGUGCGCCUGGGGGUCCUCGCGCGCCUAGGUGGGUUGUGCCCACUUGGUGCACCUCCCUCUGGUAUUAUUUGCACCAAAAAUUCAGAAAUAUUUAGAAAAAAUCGUAUAAAAUUUUCAGGGCAUUCUGAGCACUUUUAUUUUUGGGUCAUUUUUUAUUGCACGGAAAAUUUAGAAAACAGAAAAAACAUGGCAUUUUAUUUUAUUUAGCUUAUAAAAACAGAAAACAAAAAGUAAAGACAGAAGGUAGUGCUUACUAAAUUCAUCAACUUCAUACCGCUAAAAAAUGAUUCAUUAAUAAGGUUGAUUAGGUUUUAUUAACAAUCACUUUCGAUUAGCAUGAAACCGAAGAACUUUCGUAAAUCACUAAGUUACCUCAAUGGGGAUAUGAAUGUACCCAACAAUAAGCAUUUCGUAUUUGUUUAUGACAGUAGGUAAAGGUAUUUGAAAACUUCCAAUAGUGAUUGUCGGAAAUUUUUCAAUAACAUUAAUACCAUUCACUUGGAAUUGUUUCUUCGGAAAGUGCACCGUAUGCUCAUUACCAUUAAUGUGAAAAGUGAUCUUGCUUUUAUUGCAAUCAAUAACAACCCCUGCAGUAUUCAAGAAGGGUCUACCAAGGAUAAUUGACAUGUUGUCAUCCUUGUGCAUCUCAAGUAUAACAAAGUCAGUCAAAAUAGUAACAUUAGCAACAACAAUGGGCACAUCCUCACAGAUACCGAUAGGUAUGGUAGUUGACUUGUUAGCCAUUUGCGAAGAUGUUUCAGUAGGUGUGAGUUUAUUCAAGUCAAGUCUUUUAUAUAAAGAGAAAGACAUAACACUAACACCAGCUCCUAGAUCACACAAAGCAGUUUUCACAUAAUUCUUUUUGAUAGAGCAAGGUAUAGUUGGCAUACCCAGAUCUCGAAGUUUUUUAGGUACUCCAUCUUUGAAAGUAUAAUUAGGAAGCAUAGUGGAGAUUUCAGCUUCCGGUAUUUUUCUCUUAUUUUUGAUGAUGUCUUUCAUAUACUUUACAUAAGGAGUCAUUUUCAAGAUAUCAGUCAGGCGAGUACGCAAAAAGACUAGCCUUCGCAUUUCAGCAAAGCGUUCAAAUUCUUCAUCAUCAUUCUUUUUGUUUACUUGGGUGGAAAAGGCAUAGGUUUUUGAACCCACGGUUCUCUUUCUUUACCGUGUUUUCUAGCAAUGAAGUCUCUCUUAUCAUACCUUCUAUUCUUAGGUUGUGGGUUAUCAAGAUCAACAGGUGGUUCUAUUUCAACAUAAUUAUCUGGUUCUUUUUCAUUUGGCUGAGCAUCUUCAUGAACAUCAGCAUUAUCUUUUUCAUUAUCACUAGGUGGAUGUUCAUUACUAGAUUGGGUUUCAGUAUCUGAGAUAGAAGUUUCAUUUUCAUUAUCAGGAGGUUUUUCUAUUUCAGGUUCACUAGAAGCAUGCAAAGUCCUAUCAUGUUUCUUCUUCUUUUUCUUUCUAGAAGGACUAGGUGCACUAAUGUUAUUUCUUUGUGAGUCUUGUUCAAUUCUUUUUGGGUGUCCCUCAGGAUAAAGUGGUUCCUGAGUAAAUUUACCUCCUCUAGUUGCAACUCUAACAGCAAAGUCAUGCAUAUUAUUAUUCAUUUCAUCAAGUAAUUCUGUUUGUGAUUUAGCAACUUGUUCUAACUGGGUUUGUACCUUAGAAGCAUGCUUUCCAACACCUCUAACAUCAUUUGAAAUUCUAAACAACAUGUCACUCAAGUGGGAAAUCAUAUCAGAGUUAUAUUUCAAUCGUUUCAUAAAACAUUUGCAUUGAAGUGAUCUUGUUUUCUAAUGUAGUUUUCAAACUCAUAAAGGAAUUGACUAGGAUGCAUAUUGUGAGGAUUAUCAUUUUCAUUGAACUUCAUAAGAGAAUUUACCUCUACCACCUUAGGAAGUGGUGGUGUAUCAAGCCCACGUAUUUCUUCAAUAGGAGGUAAAUUUUUAACAUCCUCAACUUUAAUACGUUUUUCCUUCAUAGAUUUCUUUGCCUCUUGCAUAUCUUCAGGACUGAGAUAUAAUAUUCCCCUCUUCUUUGGAGUGGGUUUAGCCAGUGGUUUAGGAAGAGUCCAAUCAUCAUAAUUUUUCAAUAUAUUAUUCAAUAAUUCUUCAGCUUGAGCAAUAGUUCGUUCCCUGAAAACACAACUAGCACAACUAUCUAGGAAGUCCCUAGAAGCAUCGGUUAGUCCAUUAUAGAAGAUAUUAAGUAUUUCAUUUUUCUUAAGAGGAUGAUCAGGCAAAGCAUUAAGUAAUAGGCAAAGCCUCCCCCAAGCUUGUGGGAGACUCUCUUCUUUAGUUUGCACAAAGUUAAAUAUUUCCUGUAAGGCAACUUGUUUCUUAUGAGCAGAAAAUUUUAGAGAAGUAAUAAAUCAUAUCCUGGGGACUACGCACACAACCAGGAGCAAGAUUAUUGUACCAAGCUUUAGCAUCACCCUUUAAUGAGAAAGGAAAUAAUUUGAGAAUAAAGUAAUAGUGAGUUUUCUCAUCAUGAGUAAAAAGGGUGGCUAUAUCAUUCAACUUAGUAAGAUGUGCCACAACAGUUUCAGUUUCAUAACCAUGGAAAGGAUCAGAUUCAACCAAAGUAAUUAACUCUGGGUUGACAGAGAAUUCACAAUCCUUAUCAGCAAUACAUAUAGGUGAAGUAGCAAACUUAGGAUCAUACUUCAUUCUAGCAUUUAGACAUUUUUCUUUAUACUUGCAUAGUAAUUUCUCUAGAUCAUCUCUAUCCUUACAAGCAAGAAUAUCUCUAGUUGUUUCCUCAUUCAUAACAUAACCUUCUGGUACCUUAGGGCAAUUCAUAUCUAGGAAGGCUAGUUCUAGCAGGUGUUUCAGGAGUUUCAGUUUCAAGCUCAUCAUUAGAUUCAACAACAUCAUGUUGUAUUACUCUAGCAAUUUGUUCAUCAAGAAAUUCACCAAGUGGCACAUCAUCAUUAUGAAGCAAGGUACUAGCAUCAUCAUAAGCAUUAUCCAUAGCAGAAGUAGUAUCAUCAAUAACUUGCGACAUAUUAGAAUUGAUAGGAUGUGGUGGUGUUGCAAGUUUACUCAUAACAGAAGGUGAAUCUAAAGCAGAACUGGAUGGCAGUUCCUUACCUCCCCACGUCUUCGAGGGAUAAAUCUUAGUCUUUGGAUCCUUCAUAUUCUUCAUAGUGGUAAUAUGAUAAUAAUCCCAAGUGACUCAACAAAUAUAGCUAUGCUCCUCGGCAACGGCGCCAGAAAAAGGUCUUGAUAACCCACAAGUAUAGGGGAUCGCAACAGUUUUCGAGGGUAGAGUAUUCAACCCAAAUUUAUAGAUUUGAUACAAGGGGAGCCAAAGAAUAUUUGAAGGUAUUAGCAGCUGAGUUGUCAAUUCAACCACACCUAGAGAUUAAUUAUCUGCAGCAAAGUGAUCAAUAGCAAACUAGAUUGAUAGUUUUGAUAGUAGUGACAGCAACAACGGUAAUAGUAACAGUGAUAGCAGUAAUUUGUAGCAAGUGUAACAAUGAUGAUAGCAGUAGUAACUUAGCAGAAACAAUAUAAUAUAAAUUCGUAGGCAUUGGAUCGGUGACUUGUUGGAUGAUAUUCAUCAUGUGACAGUUAUAACCUAGGGCGAUACAACACUAGCUCCAGUUCAUCGAUAUAAUGUAGGCAUGUAUUCCGUAAAUAGUCAUACGUGCUGUAUUAAAAGAACUUGCAUGGCAUCUUUUGUCCUACCCUCCCUUGGCAGCGGGGUCCAUAUUUAAAACUAAGGGAUAUUAAGGCCUCUUUUUAAUAGAGAACCGAAACAAAGCAUUAACACAUAGUGAAUAUAGGAACUCCUCAAACUACGGUCAUCACCGAGAGUGGGCCCGGUUGUUGUCACUCCGGGGUUGUCGGAUCAAAACACGUAGUAGGUGACUAUAACUUGCAAGAUCGGAUCUAAAACAUGGAUAUAAUGAUGAAUUUAUAAAUGGUUCAGAUCUGAGUUCAUGGCACCCGGGCUCAAAGUGACAUGCAUUAAGCAUAGCAAAGUCAUAGCAACAUCAACCUAAGAACAUAGUGGAUACUAGGAAUCAGGCCCUAACAAAACUAACUCGAUUACAUGAUGAAUCUCAUCCAACUCCUCACCGACCAGCGAGCCUACAAAGGAAUUACUCACUCCCGGUGGGGAGCAUCAUGGAAUUGGCGAUGGAGAUGGGUUGGUGAUGACGAAGAGCGAAUAUCCCCCUCUCCGGAGCCCCAAACAGACUCCAGAUCUGCCUUCCCAAGUAAGAACAGGGCUUGGCGGCCGCUCCAUCUUAUGGAACGUGAUAAUUCUUUCUCCCUGAUUUUUUCUCCGAAAAUAGGAAUUUAUAGUGUCAGGGUUGAGGUCUGCAGGGCCACCAGGUGCGUACAACCCACCUGGGCGCGCCAGGAGAGGGGGGCGCACCCUGGUGGAUUGUGCCCACCCAGGGGCCCCUCUCCGGUGGGUCUUGGCUCCAGUAAUUCUCUUUUAUUCCAUAAAAAGCCCUCGCAAAGUUUCGUUUCAUUCCGAGAACUUUUAUUUCUGCACAAAAACAACACCAUGGUAGUUCUGCUGAAAUAGCGUCAGUCCGGGGUUAGUUUUAUUCAAAUCAUGCAAAUUAGAAUCGAAAACAAGAGGAAAAGCAUGAGAAAAAGUAGAUACAUUGGAGACGUAUCAGUGGGCCCCUCGGGAGUCCGCCGACCUCCCUCUUAGCUCUAUAAAUCCUAAAAUAUUCCCAAACCACUAGAAGCGUCCACCAAAAUACUUUUCCGCCGCCGUAACCUUCUGUUUUUCGUGAGAUCCCAUCUUGGGACUUUUUCCGGCACCCUGCCGGAGGGGGAUUCAAUCACGGAGGGCUUCUACAUCAACCCUAUUGCCUUUCCGAUGAAGCGUGAGUAGUUUACCAUAGACCUACGGGUCCAUAGCUAGUAGGUAGAUGGCUUCUCCUCUCUCUUUGAUCUUCAAUACAAUGUUCUCCUUGAUGGUCUUAGAGUUCUAUUCGAUGCAAUAUUCUUUUGCGGUGUGUUUAUCCAGAUCCAAAGAAUUAUGGAUUUAUGAUCGGAUUAUCUAUGAAUAUUAUUUGAGUAUAUUCUAAAUUCUUAUAUGCAUGAUUUGAUAUCUUUUCUCUUUGAAUUAUUGGUUUGGUUUGGCCAACUAGAUUGGUUCUUCUUGCAAUGGGAGAGGUGCUUAGUUUUGGGUUCAAUCUUGUGGUGUCCUCAACCAGUGACAAAGUAGGGGUAGCGAGGCACGGAUUGUAUUGUUGCAAUCAAGGAUAAAAAUAUGGGGUUUUCAUCAUAUUGCUUGAGUUUAUCCCUCUACAUCAUGUUAUCUUACUUAAGGCAUUACUCUGUUCUUAUGAACUUAAUACUCUAGAUGAUGCUGGAUAGCGGUCGAUGUGUGGAGUAAUAGUAGUAGAUACAGGCAGGAGUCGGUCUACUUGACACGGACGUGAUGCCUAUAUUCAUAAUCAUUGCCUUGGAUAUCUUUAUAACUUUGCGCUUUUCUAUCACUUGCUCAACAGUAAUUUGUUCACCCACCGUAUGCUUUCUUCAAGAGAGAAGCCUCUAGUGAAACCUAUGGCCCCGGGUCUAUUUUCCAUCAUAUAUUUUUAGAUCUAUAAACCAAAAACCCAAAAAUACCUUACUGCAAAUUAUUUACUUUUAUUUUAUUUUACGUUUUAAUAAUAUUUUAUAUCUAUCUCUAUCAGAUCUCAUCCUUGCAAGUGACCGUGAAGGGAUUGACAACCCCUUUAUCAUGUUGGGUGCUAGUGUUUGAUUGUUUGUGCAGGUGCAUAGAUUGGAGACUUACUUGUACCUCCUACUAUAUUGAUACCUUGGUUCUCAAAUUGAGGGAAAUACUUAUCUCUACUUUCCUGAAUCACCCUUUCCUCUUCAAGGGAGAAACCAACGCAAGCUCAAGAAGUAGCAGGAAGAAUUUCUAGCGCCGUUGCCGGGGAGGUUCUACAUCAAGCCUACCAAGUACCCACCAUAAACUCUCAUCUCUUGCAUUACAUUAUUUUCCAGUUGCCCCUCAUUUUUCUCUCCCUCACUUCUAACACAUUUUCAGAAAAGAACAAAGAUAUUUGCCUUUUUAUUCGCCCUUAUUUCAUUCGUCUUUUUGUUUGCUUUUUUGUUGCUCGUGUGUUAGAUUGCUUGCUUUGUCACGAUGUCUCAAGAAAAUACCAAGUUGUGUGACUUUUCCGACACCAAUAAUAAUGAUUUUAUUAGUACUCCAAUUGCUCCCGCCACAAGUGCGGAAUCUUAUGAAUUUAAUGCCGUAUGAUUGAUGAUUUGGCUAGGAAUGUUGAUAGAAUUUCUCUUGAGAUUGAUUCUUUAAAGAUUAGAUCUAUGCCACCUAAGAUUGAUAUUAAUGAAUCCCUAAAAGCUAUUAAAAUUUCUAUGGAUGAAUGUAAAGAAAGAGCCGCUAGGAUGCGCGGUAAAAGAGAUUGGUUUGUAAAAGCGUGUUCUUCUAUUUUUUGCGAAAAUAAUGAUGAAGAUCUUAAAGUGAAUCGUGUGACUCCUAUUGAAUCUUUUCUUUCCAAUAUAAAUCUUGAUAAAUAUGGGCUGGAGAUGAGUCAACUUUAGCUAGAAGGCGUCCCAAAAAUUUGGAGUUUGAAGAUCUUAAUGAAAAAAUUGAUAAAACUAGGAUAGGAGAGGUCAAAACUUUAAGUAGCGAUGAACCCACUCUUUUGGAUUUCAAGGAUUUUAGUUAUGAUAAUUGUUCCUUGAUAGAUUGUAUUUCCUUGUUGCAGUCCAUGUUAAAUUCACUUCAUGCUUAUAAUCAAAAUAAAGCUUUUAAUAAACAUAUCGUUGAUGCUAUGAUGAAAUCUUUUGAAGAAAAACUUGAGUUGAAAGUUUCUUUCCCUAGAAAGCUUUAUGAUGAGUGGGAACUCACUAUUAAGAUUAAAAUUAAAGAUUAUGAUUGCAAUGCUGUGUGUGAUUUGGGUGCUAGUGUUUCCACUAUUCUGAAAACUUUAUGUGAUGUGCUAGGUUUCCAUAAAUUUGACGAUUUUUCUUUAAAUUUGCAUCUAGCGGAUUCCACUAUUAAGAAACCUAUGGGAAGGAUUAAUGAUGUGCUAGGUUUCCAUAGAUUUCAUUGUGCUUGAUAUAGAUUGCAAUCCUACAUGUCCUAUUAUUCUUGGUAGACCUUUUCUUAGAACAAUUGGUGCAAUUAUUGAUAUGAAAGAAGGAAACAUAAGAUUUCAAUUUCCCUUAAGGAAGGGCAGGGAACACUUUGCAAGAAAGAAAAUUAAUUUUCCAUAUGAAUCUAUUAUAAGGGCUACUUAUGGAUUGCAUACCAAAGAUGAAAAUACCUAGAUCUAUGAUUUAUGCCUAACUAGGGGCGUUAAACAAUAGCGCUUGUUGGGAGGCAACCCAAUUUUAUUUUUAUGUUUCUUAUUUUUGGUUCUGUUAUUCAAUAAAUAAACAUUAUUACCUCUGUAAUAAUUGUGUUUUGGUGUUUCAAUUAGUGUUUGAGCCAAGCAAGACCUUUGGGAUACUUUGGUAUAUUGUUUAUUUGAUCUUGCUAAAAAACAGAAACUUUUGCGGCCAGAAACAGAAUUGAUGACUAAUGUUGAGUCCAUGGAUUGUACGCACUCUCACCCUUCCACCAUUGCUAGCCUCUCUAGUACCGCGCAACUUUCACCGGUACCAUACACCCACAAUAUACCUUCCUCAAAACAGCCACCAUACCUAUCUAUUAUGGCAUUUCCAUAGCCAUUCCAAGAUAUAUUGCCAUGCAACUUCCACCAUUUCAUUUAUUAUGACAUGCUUCAUCAUUGUCAUAUUGCUACAUUUUCAUUCGUCACAUGACAUGAGUUUUACUUGGAGCAUUAUUUUAUUUUGUUAGGACUUGCUUGCUGUUACUUAUAAUAAACUUUUGCAUCUUUCAUUUCAAUAAAAAUGUCAUGGAUAGCCCUCACCAUGCUUAUUUUGCAAGUCUACAUGUUGCUGUUUGAAAACAGAAAGUUUAUCGAUGUUGCAAAAAUUCCCUAGAAAAGUCAAAAUGUGGUAAAAUGUUGAAACUUUUUGCAAAAUAAGCUCUGAUAAAUUCUCUACAGGUUGGUAGAUUUUCAUAUUCUUUGGAAUUUAAGAAGUAUUGAUAAUCUUGCAUUAUUUACAGACUGUACUGUUUUGGCAGAUUGCUGUUAUAUCUGUAUUGUUUGCAUAUGUUUGCUUGUUUAAUGAUUCUAUUUGAGGAUAGGAGUAUUAAAUAUGCAGAGGCAUUUAGUAUGCAAUGUUGAAUAAUAAUUUUUGUUAUUUGCUACACUAGAGAAUGAUAAGGUUUUUGCAUUGGUUUAUAAUAACUUAUCUCAUGAGUUCUUGUUGAGUUUUGUGUGGAUGAAGCUUUUUAGAUUUAGGGAAACUGUGAUAUAAAAGGAAUUAAGGAAACAUAAAAGCUCAAGCUUGGGGAUGCCCAAGGCAUCCCAAGAUAAUAUUUCAAAAAGUCUCAAGCAUCUAAGCUUGGGGAUGCCCCGGUAGGCAUCCCACCUUUCUUCACCAACAAUUAUCGAUUAGUAUCGGUUGAUCCUAAGUUUUUGCUUUGUCACAUGACGUGUGCUAUUCUUAGAAGGACAAUUUUCUUGCUUGCUGUUUUAAAUCUUGCGAAUGAUUUGAUCCAGAUCUGAAUGAAAACCCAACCUCCUGUGUUGAAGAAUUGUCAGUGCCCUGUUGACAUCCUCAUAUGAUUCCUCAAGCUGCUUGAUGACAAACUUGGAUUUAGUAUCUUACAUUCGGUUGUCGAGCUCCUUGAGUUGUGCCUUGAGGUCAUUGAUAUCAACAUAACCAUUUCUCAUAUCUUGGAUCAUAUCAUACGCUUGAGAAAUAACUUCAGAGGGAAUUGGCAAAGAUGCCACUUCUCCAUCAAACAAAUCUUAGACAAAUCUGUCCAGCUUCUCCAUAAUGAACGGAUGAUUGAAAGAAUGUGGUGCAGCAGAGAUAUCUUGAGUCUGUGUAGCUGCCUGGGCAGAAGAAGCUAUCUGUGCCACAUUUUGCUUGGAUGGAGGCAUAGAAGCCAAAGGUUGAGACAAUUUUGGAGCAAAUUGUGCAGCCUUUUCUUUCACAACAUCAGUGCUUGGGACUUUUUGCUUGGCAGCAGGGCCUUUAAUCUGCUUCAUCUUUUGCUUCAGCAACUGUUUUCCUGGCUUACCUAAGCCAACACGGGCUUCAACCAACAAAUCUUGCAGGUCUAUUGCAUCAGAAUGAGGUUCUGUGUUUACUUUGUAAACAAUUGUGACAGUGGUUGCAGGGGUCGUCCGCUUCAGUAGGUUCUUCUUCGGAGGUGUAGUUGGGUCUGCACUCGUGCGAAGAUCAGGAAGAAUAGUGGAUGUGGUGACAUUUACUUGUUCUGAGAGAGUUGCAUCAAUUUCUUCUCGGGUGAGCGGAGGAUCAUCUUGAUUAGAAGAAUCCCUUUCAGGUUUAGCUGGCUUACCAGGCCUUUUCCUUGGGGCACUCUUUUUCUUCAGAGCAGCAGAUUUUGGACCAUGUUCAAUCUUCAUUCGGCGUUAUGAUUUUCCUUCACCUUUUUCUUCUCGAUGUCUGAUUUGAUGAGACGCCGAUUUUCUUCUUCCUUGGCCUAUUCUUUUGCGGUCUUCUUGGCUCGCUUUUCAGCAUUCUUGAGGCGCUUGGCCUUUUCUUCAAGAUAAGAAUCAAGAGUCAUGAUGGACGACUCAUGAGCAUCAGGAGGUGGUGGAGGCCUUUGCUGGGGAUCACCUGCCCGUAUGAGCCCAAUCACGCGACAGUCACCCAAUGGGGGAUGGAAAGCAAAGUUCUUGGCGUACCGAGGAUGAACCAUCUUGUAGUUAAACCACUUCCUUACCCAGUGACGCCGAAUCUUUUGCACACGUCCUUUCCUCCAAGUUGAAUCUUCUCUUGGAACUGUGUUAUACUCAUCAUGAGAGACAAGCUUAGUUGUAUUUUUGAGAGGUUGCCUACCACCUUUCCUUUUCUUCGGAGCAUCUGCUUCUUGCUCAUUUUCAUUUUGUUUGGCUCUUUUCCUCUUGCUGGUUAACGGGCCUAUCAUUGGGCCCUUUGCAUUUGGUGCUUUUGAUUCAUCCGAUGUGCCCAUGAAUGCCUCUUCGUCAUCAGCCAUACUGUGUGGCUUAGCAAAAUCUGCAACAGACUACAUUCACCUGUGAAUAGAAUAGGUACGAGGGAAAAUGGGGACAGGGUCACAAAUGCUCACAAUGAAAGUUUUCUCAAAAAAACAUUUUGAGGAAGAACCAAAUACAGACUUCCAGAGAUGUUUCAAAAGAAUGAAACAUAUAGGUCGUGCUAGUAGGUCUGAAGAAUAAUACUAGAUAGCGAGCUAGGCAUAUCAUUCAAGCCAAACAGAACACAAACCCUACAUCUGAUGGAUUCGGAUGCGAGGAAAAACUACAAACCACAUCUGCACUACAAAGGUAAAAACUUAGAUCUAAGAACUGCGGUAAAUUCGGAGAAAAUUAGCCAUAGAUGAACUCGAAUCGAGAGAGAUGGAUGUUCGAGUUUGAACCACACGUACCCUAGCUCGGUGACGUGCAACAGCUACCGCAACGAGGGGAGAAAGAUGCCCCGCAGCGGCGUGGAAUGACUCCGGUGACCUCUUUCCAAUAGUUAAGCGGCGAAGGGGUCAUCAACGUCGAGCUCAAGAAGGAGCACUGCAUCGAGGGUUUCGGUGGUGAGCGAGAGCGAGGAUAAAGAGAGUAAAAAGGAAGAAGGAGCGGUGCGGUCUAUAUAAGGGAAUGGAAAUAACCGCACAUUGAUAUUUUUGAUCGGACGGUCUCAAGACAGAGACAAUUGCAAUUCAACAGAUAGGAUGGAUUGGCAGUUGAUGUGUUGCAUGUGGCAACCGUCAAAGGUCGUGGUUUUGACUUGGGCGGGAAACCCCAAAUUUUGGACGGCUUUCGCCAAAAUAGAUUAAAGUUUGGACCAAAUCUUAGUUGUGGUCAAGGACACCAGAUAAGUUUCGUUCCAAAUAAUAUUGAGCAUUUGCAAUGGAACAACAUAGACUGGAAGAGAUAGACCAGAAGGAAAAAUAGGGUCCUAGGCAUUUCACUGAGAGGAAAACACAAGCACACGAGCAAGUAGCUAUGAGAGAAAUGCAUUCGGACAGAAACCAAAUCCAUCAAAUACAAGAGAAAGACAAGAAACGAAAAUUGUGGUGGCGCAACCCACCAUAUAAGAACUGUAUGACCCCGAGCGUCACACAAUUAUCAUGGCACCAAGUUAGUUUAGUUCUUCGUUAAUGUAUUCACUCUCAGAAAGAAAAUUUUACUUUGUCGAAAAUUUCAAACUCUUCGAGUGUUAUGCACCCAUUCCUUCUAAGAUGUGGAAGUGUUAGCACGAGUGCCGAGUCCAUCUUACUACACGUUUGUGAAGUCGAGGAUAUUUAGCUCACACCAUAACACACAUAAUCUUUUCUUGUCGAGAGGCUUGGUGAAAAUGUCAGCGAGAUUGUCUUUGGUCUUGACGUGAUUGAUGACAAUAUCCUCUCGAUCCACAUGAUCACGAAUAAAAUGAUGUCAGAUGGCAAUGUGCUUCGUGCGAGAAUGCCGCAUAGGGUUGUGUGCAAUUUUGAUGGCACUCUCAUUAUCAUAAUACAAAGGGAUAUGCUUGACCUUGAUACCAUGAUCCUUUAGUGUGUGCUUCAUCCACAAUAACUGAGUGCAAUAAGAUCCAGUAGCAAUAUAUUCAGCCUCGGCCGUAGAUAGUGAUACACAAUUCUGCUUCCUUGAAGACCAACAGACCAAUGAUCUACCAAGGAAAUGACAUGUCCCCGAGGUAGAUUUCCUAUCAACCAAGUCACCAGCCCAAUCUGAGUCUGAAUAUCCAACAAGAUCAAACUGUGCUCCCUUAGGAUACCAAAAACCUAAGGUGGGGGUGUGAGCCAAAUAUCAUAGAAUGCGCUUGACCUCUUGGUGAUGCGAUUCUUUAGGUGCAGCUUGAUAGCAGGCACACAUGCAAACACUGAACAUAAUGUCAGGUCUGGAUGCACAUAAGUAAAGAAGAGAUCCAAUCACCGAACGAUAGGCUUUCUGAUCAUAAUCCUUACCGUGCACAUCUACAUCUAGCUUACCAUUCAUGGGCAUUGGAGUUUGUAGCCCUUCAUUUUGGAAUCUUGCAUUUUGAACUUCUUUAGGCACCCCUUUAGAUAUUUCUCCUGAGAAAUGAAGAUACCAUUCACUUGUUAACGUAUUUGCAGUCCGAGAAAGAAUUUGAGUUCACCCAUCAUGGGCAUUUGAUAUUUAUCAGACAUCAUUUUCCCGAGUUCUAAGCUGCAAGCAUUGUUAGUAUAACCAAAGAUAAUAUGAUCCACAUAGAUUUGAAAAACGAAUAAAUCAUUGUCGACUACACGAGUGAAAAGUGUGGGACAUGUGGAUCCUGGUUUGAAUCCUUUGUCGAGCAAAAACUUCUUCAAGGUGUCAUACCAAGCUUGAGGGGCUUGCUUUAGCCCAUAUAAAGCUUUCUUCAACCUGAAAACUUUGUUAGGAUACUCAGGGUGUUCAAAGCUAGGCGACUAUCUAUCACAAACUUCCUCAUCAAUUUCACCAUUGAGGAAAGCACUUUUCACAUCCAUUUGAUAUAGAAAGAUAUCAUUGUAAUUUGCAUAAGUAAGAAGAAUGCGAAUUGCCUCAAGGCGUGCAACAGGAGCAUAUGUUUCACCGAAAUCAAUACCUUCUACCUGUGUGUACCCUUGAGCAACAAGCCAUGCUUUGUUUCUCACCAGAAUACCAUUUUCAUCUUGCUUAUUGCAAAAAAUCCAUUUUGUGCCAAUGGUAUUGUGCUUCUUGGGUUCUGGCUUGUCAACCAGUUCCCAUACAUCAUUUAAUUCAAAUUGCACCAACUCCUCUUGCAUGGCAUUCGUCUAGUCCGGAUCAUUCAAGGCUUCUUCAUACUUGGUAGGUUCUGCCAAUGAAACAAAGGAGAAACUUCCACUACAAAAAAAUACACUUCCGUGAUGAUACAUGUUUGUCACAGUAGGUCGCGUUUUUUGUCAUGCAUGUACAUCCAUGACGAUUUUAUGACAGAAUCAAGAUAGUCAUACCUGUGCUGUCAUAGAAGUGUUCCAUGGCAUUACCAAAAUUAUCAUCACGGAAGUGUCCACUUCCAUGAUGAUAAAUCGCUCGUCACAGAAGUGCUUUCGUCAAGGGUGACCUACACGUGGCAUCCACCGUAAUGGAACGUCGUUAAGCUAUCGGGUCGGGUUUUGGAUCCGAUAACCCGUUAACAACCUCGACCAAUGGGGAUUUUCCACGUGUAAAAUCAUCAUUGGCUGGAGAAAAUACGUGUCGGCUCACCGUUGGGACAGAUGUCAUCCGCUCAUUGGACUGAAGGCGCCUAUGGUACGACGACAUGUGGCACGGCCCAACAGAGGCCCAUUCUUGUGAAAAGGCCGGCUCGUUUGACUUGGUCAAAAGGUGGCGGGCCGGCCCACGGAAAGCCUGUUAACGGCCUGUUCGUAUAUAGCCCAUUUACCGCCCGCUAACCCAGGGCCCGUUACGCCCUAUCUGAAUUAGGCCGAGUAGCGUCAUCUGGGACAUCCAAUAUGAUUCCAGCCUGUUUUAACUUCCAGCCCAUGUGUGGCCCAUGACUUCUUUCGGCCCAUAUGAGGCCCUCUGUAACUCUUGGCCAUUAACGGCCCGUGGUGAAACUGGCCCGUAAUGAACAGUGUAUCACUUUAUACCCAUUAACGGCCCGUUAUUCCAUUGGUCGUUUCCAGCCCAAGUUAUCUUUCGGCUUUCUCAGGGCCCAUUGAUUCUUGGGCUCAUUUGCAGCAUUCGGUUACAUAUGGCCCGUUACUGUCAUUUUCUGCUUGUGGGCCAAAUUCAGCCAGUCGUUACAGUCGGCCCGUUUGCGGACCAUUAAUAUGUUGGGCCGUUUUCAUGUAAAAAAACCCGUUGGGCUGUUUUCAUAGAGUUAUCAAAUACAUCCUAUUAACGGCCCGUUAUGGUCCAUGAAUAGUACGACCCAUGAUUGGCGAAAUGAUGAUACGCCCCGUAGAAGGCCCAUGGAUCCUAUGACCCAUAUGAGUCCAUGGAUAGUACGGCCUAUAGAAGGCCCAUGGAUCGUAUGGCCCGUAGAAGGCCCAUGGACCCUACAGCCCAUAGAAGGCCCAUGAAUCCUAAGGCCCAUAUAUAAGGCCAAUGGAUCCUACGACCCGUAUAGAAGGCCAAUGGAUCCUACGGCCAGAAGAAGGCCCAUGGAUCAUAUGACCUGUAGGAGGCCCAUGGUUACAACAGUCCGUGUGUUGCCAUGAUUAUUUUGGCCUAGUUACCAAAAAUAGGCUAUUGUGGCCACUAGGAAAACACAGAAAAAGAACUGCAGUGACUACAAGCAAACAACUAAACAAGACAAUAGGGAAAUAAUUAAGCAAGCAAUUAACGCUAGCCUAUUACUGCUAUUACACAUAUUACAUCCACUAGGCAUCAAAGUUCGACACCAGUGCAAAUAUAGGGAACAAAGUAGCAUAUUACAUACACUGGCCGUCAAAAUUGGCCACCAGUGCAGAUAAACGCGGCAGCAAAACAAGAGCAUAAGUAAAACAACUUCAGAAGAGCUCAAGAAACAUUAUCCUAGGUAUCCACCAUGCUGGCAAUAAGCUUAGCAAGCUUAUUAGUUUUGUCCUGUUUGGCGCUAAAAUCCUCCAAUGCUUGCUGUUGCACCAGAAAGUAUGCAUCUGAAUGCUCCAGGGACUUCCACAGUCCUUCCGCUUCUUGUCGUAGCACAGCUGAUCGAUGUCUUUCAGCUUGUAGUUGAGACUCAAGAAACCGAACUGAUUCAGACAGUGAGUUUGAAUAGCUUGUGCAAGCGGUAGUGGCCAGUAACUCGAACACUAAACCAAGACAGGACUUCGGGGUUGUCUUGCUGUCUCCAAGAUAGUCUUCCUUAGCUGUUUUAUCAGCUUUGUUGGAGACCGACAAGGAUGUGUCACUAUCAUGAACCUUACCUGCAUUACUUCCUUUACCAUUGCUUAAUAAGGCACUCUUCCCCAAUAUUCUUUUAGCAUUCUAAAAGAAGAAACAAGCAGACACAUAACAAGUUUAGCAUGUACUAGUAUAUGAAACUCAUUUCGGUGAACCAGUUCAUUAGUAAGGUGGACAGGAUUAAACUACCAAGUCUUCUAUUGCCAAGUACUAGUACAUAAUAAAAGCAUCAAACAAACAUAUAUCUAUGUCCUAUGGUCACUGCAUUGUCUUGCCAAAUCAAAAUAGAGACACGGUUCAAAUCAUAUCAGUUCAAGACAAAGCAGCAGUGAAAGAAUACAAAGCGUGGGAAACUACACGACACAACAAGAUUUCAGAUGGGUACCACGGGUCUACAUGUACAACAACACUAUUGGCUCUGUUGUGAUGCUAGUAAUGUGCAUGAUAUGAAAGUCAACUGUAUACACAAUUGAAAUUGAAAUCAACAGAGCUAUUGAACAGAGCAAACCCGUUAAAGAAACAUGCUUGACCAUACCUGCUGUGCCAUUGGAGUUUCGAUUGGAUCCUUCAAUUUAAAAAUAAGUUUAUAUGAGUAAAUACAGUGAUACAAGAGCAAAGCAAUCAUAGUUAAAAAAGGCGCGCCUAAGCGAGUGCUUAAGCGCGCCUAGGCUCUAGGCGUUGGCAAAACGCAUUGCGCAUAACGAUGCUUAAUCUAUGCAUAACUACACAUAAGAAUGCGCUUUGGUCAGUAAAGCGCAAGGCGGUGGCAAAAUGCACAGUUAACGCCUAGCGCUUUUUUGAACUAUGAUAGCAAUGGAAUCUUAAAUUAGAAUAGUUGUUCUUCAGGUUUAGGCACUUGUUCUACAUGAAUAGAGUACAGUAAGACGCAAGAAUAUAAUACUUAAAAAUAGAAAAUGAGCUCAUAGACCUUACCACAUUUCUUGGUUCGGGACCAGUACAGAACAAGGCGUUCCCAGUCAUCGUCCAGUAAAUGUGUCUCAGAAGAAUGUAAGGAAAUUUGAUGAGUUUCUUUGCUGGUGAAGUACAUUUUCUUUAGGUAAUUCUGAUACUGCCACCAAGCAUUCUUGAAGAUAGCAGAGGUAUUACCACAGGUUACCUCAUCCCGAGUUUCCAAAUUGUUCCUUCUCUACAGAGAAAAAUGGGAGAAUUUGAUGUAUUAUAACCAUGAUGGAGGUAUGAUGUAUGGAACGAAGCAAAGUAAUUGCCAUGAAUAACAUUACUUACACAUAACUCCUGGACAAACACCGGCAGGUGGCAUUUUCCUUCAUCUUCAGUAUAAUAUUUCCAAGAUGGGAAGAUACGCACAUACGGUUUAACAACAUCAAAUGCGAUAGAUGCUAAACUACGACUAGCUGGUUGUGCUUCCUCCACAGGAAUAGGUGUACUAACUGGUGGAGUUGGGGUUCGCCGUGAUAGUACUGGCCCUUUGGGCACUAGAGCUGCCUUACUAACUGCUCUUGUUUGGGAGCUCUGUGGUGGAGAUGGUGCUAUGUCAACAGGAACUGGGUUACUAUCGGCUGGGGUUGGGGUUAGAUUGGGUGAAGCUGGUUCUCUGUCCAUCGUAGUAGGGGUACAAUCUGCGAGACUUUGGGUUAUGUGUGGUAGGCCUGGUUCUUGUGCAUGUACAAUUGGGGUUCUAUCUGCACCAAGAGGUAGCACUGUUUUAUUUGAAGACCAUGUUUUUAGUCCGCUAGAUACUGGCAUCACCCGCUCCAAUUCAAAUGGCUGAUAAAUAGGAAACAUAGUUGAAUGUACAUACAUUGUAUGAGAGACAGAUGCAAUAGAUAGUGUGGAAAAAAGAGGGCAUGAAAUAGUUGACAUGUAUAUUGUUUAACUAAAACGGAUAGCAUGACAUAAUUUCACAUAUAUGAUGUCUAUCGAAAUUGGAUAGCAUAGCAUAACAUAAUUCAAAGAUAUGAUGAAUAACUAAACAAGAUCGCAUGACAUAAUUCGCCUACAUGUUAUCUAAGUAAUCAGGAUCACAUCAUUUAAUUCACAUAUGUGAUUUAUAUGCUAAACAGAGGGCAUUCGAUAUGAUGUCUGAACUAAGAACAUGGUGUUGAAUAUUGUGUAUAUGAUGUCUAAACUAUGCAACGCAAGACACCGUAUGCAUGAUAUGAGCAGUAUAACCGUGCCAUGUUAGAUCAUACACCUCAGUGGAGGAAUAGGACUGGUCAUUUGUCUCUGAAUCCAUCUCUGAGGAGCUAUCAGGACCCAACAAGAGAUCUGCUUCGACAGGUAGCACUGUCUGCUCUGAAGGCCUUGUUUUCACUCCAGAUUUUCCCAUCUCCCACCCAAAUGGCUGAUUCACAGGAAGAGUAAUUUAAUGUACAAACAUUGCCAACAAAUGGAAAUGUAAUGAAGAAAAGGAUGGGCAAGAUAUCAUUCAAAUAUAUGAUUCCUGGUUAAAUAGGAUGGCAUUGCACAUUUCACAUAUAUUAUGGCUGGCUUAAAGACAUGAGACUACAUAAUUCCCAUAUAUUAUAUAGAAACUAAACAGAUGGCAUUAUAGAACAUGUCUAAACUAAGCAGAUGACAUAUAUGAUGUCAAAAGUAGGCACUGCAAGGCAACAUAUGCAUGAUAUGACUAACAUCAUCAUGCCAAGGUAGAGCAAACACCUUGGGGGUGUAAAUAGGAGUGGUCAGCGGCGUCUGAAUCCGCCUCAGAACAGAUAUCUUCCUCUGGAUUACAAUCUGGAGAGGGGUGGGGAGGUUUGCCAUUGAACCCGCCAUGGAGCGACGUCUGCAUGACAUUGUAUUGCCACUCAAAACUCUUCUCUUUUUCUCUACAUGUUCAGCAUGACUGUGUACAAUAUCUGACAUGCAUACGAAAAAAAUAUGGUGAGAUUAUGUAAGGAGAGCAUGCAGAAAUCUAGAGUGAUGGUAACAACCAGUGGAUGGAUCUAAAAAUAAUGAUAGCCGGCUGAUGAUUGCUUUAAAUUAAUAAAAAGACAGAUGAUGAUUGCUUUACUAUUUGUUUCCCACCAAAGAUGAACAACAUAGGCAUACCCUAGGUGAACUAGAUAUUAGACAGACAUACUAUUCAUUGCUGCCUCGAUAUGUGCCCCACAACUAAUUUAGAACUCAAGUUUGAACAUUAAUUUGGACCUGACUUGGGAGUCCAAGAGCUGAACAGGAUGAUAAAGUAGCAGGUAAGUUUAAGCAAUGCAUAACAUAAGCAGAAACAAAAGAGUGUGACCUCUCUUGUGGACCCGUGUACUCCUCAGGUUCAUCUGCUGAGUCGAUGAUGGUGAUGCCAUUGCGGUGUGUGCCGGCGGCAGGGAAGGAGAUCUGAGGCGGCGAAAGACGGUCAGGAGUCGUGAUGUAUGGUUUGGUGGAUGCUUCUGUCGAUGGAGCAGCUCAGGUGAGGUGGACGACGUCGCGACAGGAGCAGGACAAACCACACAAAGUUCCCUUCGACACGUACCUGUAACUGAAGUAAUUCUGUAAGGGCUCAUUUGGCUUGCAUGAUUCUUAAAACGCAGGGAUAGGAAAAACACCGGAAUAGGAUAGGAAAAUGCACAUGGUAAAUAGAGCAUUUGUAAACACAGGAUUUCUAUCAACUUGGGGGUUUGGUUUAAAGGUAUUGGAAGAGCAGAGGAAUGCAAAGAAACAUGGCCAAAAUAAAGUGAAACCAUAUGAAAGCGUGUAUAGUUAGAAUGUUAUUCUGGCACUAAUGCACUUGGUCUUGUUUUCAUGCAUAGGAUUUUGAAAAGUAGGUCCAGGUGGAUGUUUUGCUUCAUUCCUUUCAACAAAAUGCAUGAAUAAUUGAAUAGUAGAGUUCCAUUGGAAAUUUCCCUAUUGCUAUGUUUUUCCGUUGAACCAAAAUAGCCCUAAUGGAUCGACGUGAAUGUAUAGUAAUAAGUGAUGCAACAAGUGUACAACCUCUUUGCCGUAGCCGUGUUGACCUCAGCAUCAUUGGGUUGGUCGCUGAAGCAGUUGAGGUAGAGGUGGCUGUCGGAGGUGUGGAGGAAGAUCUGGGGAAUCUAUAGAUGGUGUCCAGGGCACUGCUCUGUUUUGAUGGAUCGUUCUAUCAUUGGAACAGCUCUGGUGAGCCGUAAGACGUCAAGGCUGAAGCAACACAAGACAUACAUCGUCAAUCUCAAGUGGGAUUCUAAUAACAUCUCCAAUAGAUGAUGUAAAAUGGAUGUAUAAUUCACAUCACCAAAAACCACCUGACUACAACAGAUGAGGUAAAAACUUUUGACUCUAAACUUAACUGUCGAAACUGAAAUUUACUAUGGAAUCUGAAUGCUACUAUCGAAACUGAAUGCAAUGGUAGCAGAGAGGCACUUUACAUGUAGUUUAGGGAGGGCCUAUAGUUCAUCUUCAACCUGCACCCCCCUGAGCCGCCAGCCACCACCGGCCGAACCACCGGCCCCAGCACCGCCUUGCCGCCUCGAAAUAACUCCACACUACCGCCCCGGCCAGCCCUCUAGGCCCCCCGCCCUCCCCCACCCUGAACCCUAAGAUAGAUAGUGGGGUACCUCUCCGGCGAGCCCCCGUCCCCGCUGUGGGUGGUUCUUCCUUAACUCUGGCGAGCCCCCCCAACCCCUGAAAAUCAACUGACCCAAAAGUCGAUUUAGUCAAUUAAAGUGUGGCUUAAUCGGAGCAGAGCAGCAACAUGGGCGAGGGGGAGAGCAGCAGCAGCAGCUGGGCGAGCGAGCGAUCGAGCGAGAGCCGGAGCAGCAGUAGCAGAUCUGGUUGGUAUGGACGUUGCCACCGAAGGGGCGUCGCACUGGGGGAGAGCCACCAUGGAGAUGUCGCCCACGGUGCCGGCUUCAAGGUAGCCGCUCCAUGGGGGUGCAGGAUGGAGCACCGUCGGUGCCGGGAGGUCGAGUUAAGGAGAAGGUGCGAUGCGAUGAGUGUACAACCUCUUUGGUGGCGCUGAGUAGACCUCGGCUUCAUCCGAGGAGUCGGUGAGGAUGCUGCGGUUCCAGUGGAGCAGGUUAAGGCGGCACUGUGGGGAUGGAGCAUCCGUGAUAGACGAGGCGAUCGUCAAAGCAGCUCCUUGGAGGUGGAGGACAGGGCGGCCAAACCGGCGGGACGGUGAGAUGGACGACGGAUCCUCAUCCGGGGAGGUGGACGAGGGACGUCGAGCUGUUGCGGUGGACGACAUCAUCGGGGAAGAGGCUCCGGCUGGGCAGCGGUGAGGUGGCGGACAAAGGAGGGUGGGGUUUUGCGGCUGGAGCGGAGAGGUUAUGGCGGCCUGGGAUUUCGGAUGGCGAAAAGGGGGCGAUGGGAGGGGUGAAGCAUGACUUAGGGACGCGCUUGUCUAAAAUGUAGGGUGUGUUACAAAAGUACCCCCCACCGAUUUGAACUAGUGGCCCUUUCGGCUCAGGGUUAGAAGGGGGAUUCGGGAUUUGGUACCUGGAGGGAGUUUUCACGCGUGUUGUAAUUUCGGGAUAGCAAGGCGCGGGUUGUGAAGGCGCCAGUUUUGGGAGCACGAUAUCUAAAUUUUCGGGAUAUAACAAGACACGGGUUGAAUUUUAGGGACGAGCCUAACGUGUAGUAAUAUUGUACAUGUACGUACCAAAUCAAUUCGAACUUCCCUCAACCAAAAAGAAAAAGAAAAAAAU
rnacentral:lncRNA from 1 species